rnacentral:lncRNA from 1 species
UGCUGCAGAUAUCUGUUGGUGCUGGACAAGACCAACUGGAAGACCAACAUGCUGACGGGCCUCUUGGUCCCUUACAUUUUCUUCACCAUGCCCGGCCUGCUCUUCGGCUUCAUAAGGUGAUUAUCCUCGCAAAUUCUCUACUACUGCAGUCUGCAGCGUCCCUUCAGAUUUUAAAUUUUGCAUGCAAUUUCCACUGAGCUGUGGAACUGUUGCUUUGCGACGGAUUAAUAACUCGUCAGUCUGAAAGAUGUUAGCUCACAAAAUCUAAAUAUUGCGUACAUAUUUUCCCCAAAAAGAUAAAGAAAACACAGUGGUGAACAUCCAGCUGUGGUGCUGGUGGCUGGCUAGCGUUCUGCGGUCCGGAUCCACUUUCAGUGGUUUACUUCAGUUUUUUUGUACUUUGCUUUUGUGUCGGCACUAGAUGCUGGUCUGGACGUGGUUAUUCCCAUAUCACUUCUUAAAAGAAAACUAGAUCCGAUAUCACUUAUCAGUGAUAGUAGUAGUGGACUGAGGACGCCUCCUUGUUUGAAAAAAUGAAAAGAGAAAAAUACUACUGCAGAUAUAAGAUGUUAUUUUUCGGCAAUUGAUUCACAUGAUAGGCAAGGGUCCGAAGAUCAUAAAAAAUGAAAACUUGUGCAUAUGGGCUAUUGUUACCUGGCUGCAGAACUCAAGCUACCUUUUUCAUACUUAUAUAAGUGAUGCUAGUUGCAGUUGCAGAUACUUCCAUGAUGCCAUAUCGUCUGUUGAUCUGCUACAAUUUUACAGCAUUAUUACAUACAUACUCCCUCCGUUUCAAAUUACUCGUCUCAGAAAUGGAUGUAUCUAGAACUAAAAUACAUCUAGAUACAUCCAUUUUUGCGACGAGUAAUUCGGAACGGAGGGAGUACAUAUAUACGAAACAAAUUCCUGAUUGCUCAACAUCAAAAUUGCAGGGGGGAGAUUGGUAGCUGGGUUGCGUUCGUUUUUGUCGUCCUGCGGCUGUUCUUUCCGCGCCACUUCCCUGGUACUAUCAUUUUGCUCUCUGUUUCUUGUGCUUAUAGUUGCCCCCUAGCAAAUUCCUUCAUGUACUCAACAAGCUAAACUUUAAAAUGUUGCAUAAAUCUCACAAUGGGGAUUUGCAUCAUGUUGUCAGACUGGCUGGAGCUGCCUGGGUCUCUGAUCCUCCUCACGGUGGUCGCCCCCGCCAUCUUCGCCGACACCUUCCGGGGCUCCUGGCUCAUCAUCGGCGUCGGCGUGUGCCUGGUCAUCGGGUGCUACCUGCUCCACGAGCACAUCAAGGCGUCGGGUGGCCUCAAGGAGGCCUUCAAGAAGCCCAAUGGCUGGUCCAACACCAUCGGCAUCCUCCUCCUCUUCAUCUACCCGGUCUGGGCCGUCGUCAUGUGGUUCCUGUAGACCGUUCGCCGCUGUUUUUGGGGUUCAUCAUGUGAUGUUUUUCUCCGGCGAUUUGGUGUCGAUGAACCAUGCGCUCUUGUACCUGUUGAAUGUCUCGGCCAUGUUUCGAUUUGGUGUCACGUCUUAAUUUGUUUCCUUGAUCUGUGGGUACAUAGCCAUCAAUAAAAACGUCUGCUCUGUUGAUCGGUGGGUGCAUUCAAGUGAUGAGCUGCUGGCCAUGUUCUCUCAUGGAUGUCCGUAUGAUGGUCACGUGCAACUGAUGUGUUAUGAGCUUAUUAAUUACUCUAAUCGCACCCUAUAUUAGUUUUCUUCAUACUAUGGUGGGAGAUCUUCAGAACCACGGAGGAACCUUAUAAAAAAGUGAACAAUCUUUGUAACACAAGAAUCGCUACGGCCUUGUUCGGUUAAACCUCUCCUGUAGGGGGUUAGAGAGGUUUGGAGGGGACUGAGUGAGAUUUUGACUUGUAUGAAAUUUAAUCCACUUCAAUCCCUUUUAAUUUUGCUGCAACCGAACAAGGCCUAAAUGAUAACUCUCUUCGUCUCGAGUCUAAGACAAGUAAUUUAGAGGGACUGUAAGUUUAUUUUUAGACAUAAAAAUAAAAGCGAACAAUCUUUGGAACCUCUUAUAAUAUGUCGAACAAGCAUUUCUGUAAUACUACCUCCGUCGCAAAUUACUUGUCUUAGAUUUGUCAAAUACACAUAGCGGAGGGAGCACAUAAUACAGAAAUACAUAUUGUGGUCAAAAGUCAAAUCCCGUGACAGCAAGCUAAAGCUAAGAUACUGCAUGCAUGCAAUAAUACAGUUGCGAUCUGUUCCCCACGUGUCCGUCCAGCGGGUGUGUAGAGAAGUGUCGAGACCGAGCGCCACCUGUUCCGUUCCGUCGACCCCAGCAAGGUCCAGCUAACUCAGCUGCCGGCCUGUACAUAUUUCCUCCUAUCCGCACAGCCAAAGCCAAAGCACAAAUCGAACCCAGACCCGAGCCCAUCCAUCCGUCUAUCUUGAGAAUUCUCGAGGUCUCGGCGACUCGGGGGAGAUGGCGCCGUCGUUCCUCGCGAUGAAGGCGGGCGCGGCGUCCGGCGCGUCGGAGGCGGCGCAGGCGCUGCUCGAGUCGGACCUGCGGGAGCUGGGCCUGGCCGCGCGGAAGCUCGCCAACCACGCCAUCGUCCUCGGCGGCGGCCUCGGCUUCGGCCGCCACUUCCUCAAGUGGCUCGCCUUCAUCGCCGCCGUGUCAGUAUUCCCCUUUCUUCCCUUCUAUUUUCCUUGCUGGGACGAGCUUUGUUUCUGCAAAGGGGAUCUCCGAUCUCCCUCGCCUCCUGACCAUUUCGGGAGGAUCACGCCAGGGAGCAGUUGAGAUGCCUGCGAGAAAACAUCGCGACAGCAUAUUCCCUUGGAAGCAGUAAUUUUUUAGUAAGCUUGAGCGUGUAAUUUAACUGCGGUAUCCUAGAGGGAGAUGCCGAACGCUGUCAAAUUCGUGCCAAAGCCUCGGUGAAAACGGUAGCUUGGUAGGAAAUGUUCACCAUUAAUUUUGUGGGACUUGCGAAGCAAACAUCCCUAACAUAUAGACAGAAGUCGGACCUUAUCAAAGCGUAUAUGCUGUGAUGUUAAGCUGUUACCUGUUAGGAUGAUUCUGCGGCCUAUAUAUGAUUUUCUCUUCAAUCUUUACUUUGAAAACUUAGAGGAGUUGAGGAGUUUGUGUGUCCACUUAACCUGAGAUUGCUACCUUCUUGGCAAUUGUCGGUUGGUCGCCGGAUUAUGCAUUGUCUGAACUUUGCUGUUCUCAUCUACUGCAGGUACCUCUUGGUAUUGGACAAGACCAACUGGAAGACCAACAUGCUGACGGGACUCUUGGUCCCUUACAUUUUCUUCACCCUGCCUGGUGUACUAUUCUCUCUCGUAAGGUGGGUAUGGUCGCAAUUUCCCUUCUGCAGCAUCAGUUCAUGUUUUCAGUUUAAAUGCAGUUGUUAGUAGCUGUGGAGGAUUGUUGCAUUCCUGCGGAUUAACCAAUUUGAAAUAUCUGAAAUUCUGAACUUAGAAAAUCGAAAUAUUUCAUGUAUGUUUUCCAGAAUGAAAAAAUAGUGCAUUAGGUUGUUGAUAAAGCGAGGUAAGAUAUUGUUCAUUGUUGGUUGAUAUCACCGGCUAUAGUGCCAGAGUGUCGGUCUUCUUAAAAAAAGGUCACUUCACUGAGGAUAGGCUCAAAGGACUUUAUAGGUUGUUGAUAAAGUGAGGUAAGAUACAUGCUCAAUAUAGGUUAUUUUAACAUAUUGCUACCUCACUGCAAAAGUCGAGGUAUUUUUUCAUGCUUGUUGUCUAUCGGUUGAAGGAUCACUGCCUCUGCCUUACUGGCUGAUACUUCCAUGGUGCAAUAUCCUCUGUUGCUUUAAUUGUACAGCAUUAGAUAUAGGUAUUUGAAUCAAAUUUGUGAUCAUCAAACAUCAAAAUUGCAGGGGAGAGGUUGGUGCCUGGAUUGCAUUCGUUGUAGUCAUCCUGCGGCUCUUCUUCCCGCGUCACUUCCCUGGUAUCAUUUCCUAUCUAUUUUUUUACCUAUCCUUGCUGCCCCUAGCAAAUUAUCUCUAUGUGUUGCAUUUCUCAUCUUUGUUGUGCCCUGUGAAGAUAUUUUUCAGCUUAUAUAACACUACCGAAAAAUGUGUCCUUAUUUUUCAUCUACUCCCUCCGUCCCAUAAUAUAAGAUCAUUUUUGAAGCUAACAUAGCUUCAAAAACGUUCUUAUAUUAUGGGACAGAGGAAGUACUUAAUAAGCCGUUAAAAUGUUACAGACAUCUCACAAUGAUUUUCAUCAUGUGUAUCAGAUUGGCUAGAGCUGCCUGGCUCUCUGAUUCUUCUCACGGUGGUCGCCCCCAGCCUCUUUGCGGAGCACUUCAGGAACGAUCUUGUCGGCGUCUUCAUAUGCCUCGCCAUCGGGUGCUACCUGCUCCAAGAGCACAUCAGGGUGUCAGGAGGCUUCAGGGAGGCCUUCAGGAAGGCCAAUGGCGUCUCCAACACCAUCGGCAUCGUCCUGCUCUUCGUCUACCCAGUCUGGGUCCUGGUGCUCUGGCUCCUGUAGGACAUCUACUGCUAUCAGUAUCGCCAUUGAUUGCCUUGUGCAGUUCUGUUCGAUGUUUGGUAAUUCAUCCUGUGGACGUUAUUGAUGUUGAUUCGGUGUGGGUCGUUCGGCGCCGAUGAGCUGUGCAUGUUUGUACCUUUUGAUGGACACAUGUUUCGAUUUGUUGUAGUUUUGGUAUCAGAAUCCUUGUUUCCUUGAUUUGGGUGUACAGAACCAUCAAUAAGAACAUCAUCACUGUUGAUUGGUGUAUUGAAGUCGAGCUGCUGUCUAAAUUCUCUCGUGUUUGGUCGUAUAUUGCGUGCAUGUAAUGCUUUAUGAGCCUAUUAUCACCCAAUAUAGUUUUAAUAGAAACACAUUACAGAUGUAAACUCUCACAAACACGCACAGACACUCCCACCUAUGAGCUCACAAACAUGUCCAUACGCUCACUAAUAUGAAUCAAGAGACUGUCGAAUGGUCUUGAGAUUAAUGAAAUCACUAUAAACGGUCUUGAGAUUGACAAAAUCACUAUAAACAUAUCGCUAUGAAUCGAGAGACUGUCGAAUGGUAUUGAGAUUGAUGAAGUCACUAUAAACGUAUCGCUAUUGAUGGAAACAUGGCCACUCGUUGAAAGAAUAUUUCAUCCAAUAUUGUAAAGUGGACAAAGCUUUGCCUUAAGAUGUAACAAAUGCUCUAAUCAUCCAUUCCGCCUCUAAAUAUUAUAAACUGGACAAAGCUUUGCCUUAAGAUGUAACAAAUGCUCUAAUCAUCCUUUCCACCUCUAAAUUGAGAACCCAAGAGCAUCUACAGCCCGGCGCCUCGGCAGAGGAUCGGUUACUGACCGGUUAAAAAAACUGACCCACCCGUACUCCUCAAACCGGUCUCAAACGCUAGGGCUGUCUGGCGCCCCUCAUAUCUAGACCAAAUGUAGAGCGGAUAUGGGGCGGCCGGGGCGCACCCGGGCGCGUCCGCCACGUCAGCCUGGUCCACCACCAACCCCACUCCGUCCCCACAAAACCCCCAAUCCGGAACCCUAACUCACUUCACUCUCCUCUCUCGCUUUGUCCCCUCUUCUCCUCUCUUCGAUUUCUUCGACAUGGAUCGAAUCCGACGACUCCGGUGAGAUGUCGAGCCCCGGCAACUGUUCCAACUUCGAGUCGACGAGAGCUGGUCCUCCGCAUUGCGCUGGAGCUGUCCAAGGUGGGCACGGUGACGCUAAGGCCAUAGCGCUUGGAAAGUGGCUCGUACAUGACAGGUCCCGAGAGCGUUUCCGUGGCAGGGGAUGUGCGCUUUGUUGUGGCUCUGCCGCAUGGGAGAGAAGCAGGGGCCUGGCGGUCAGAAGAAAGAGGUUCUUGCAGGACAGGACAAGAGAAUGUUUCCAUCCUGCAGGCGCGGCAUGAUGCAAGGGACGAUGAGAUGUUGAUGAAGAUCGAUUUCCCCUUCGACAGGGUGCCGCAAAAGAGCUAAAUCCAUGUUCUCCUCGGAUCAGGAAGUGGCGGUGAUGAAAAAAUUAGGUUAAAAUAUAGGAGGUAUUUUUGAGUUGGUUGGCUAAAACCAAACACGCAUGCCCUAGAAUGCGCUUCUGUUAGCCGGCUAGUCCCCCAGUUGGGCCUCGACCAUCUGGAGAAGCGAAGGAAAAAUCAAAGAGGAACGAAAGUUGAAACAACUAGAGAGGAUCUUUACAAUGUUCCAAAAAAUAUAAAAUGUUCUGAAAUGUAAAAAAACAUGGUAAAAAAUUAAAAGUUCAUAAAUUUAUAAGAUGUUUAUAAUUUGAAAACAUGGUUCAUGAAUUUUAAAAUGUUCACGAAUUUAGAAAAUAUUCGCAAAUUUAGAAAUUUUUUACGAAUUUCAUAAAAUGUUUCUCUCAAAAGAAAAUGUCCAUGACUUAAAAAAUGUUCUUGGAUUUCAAAAGAAGUUCCCCAAAUUUAAAAACUGUUCAUACAUUUUAAAAAAUUCAUAAAUUUAAAAUAAAAUAUCAAUGAAUUUAAAGAUUUGUCUCUCAAACGGUGUGGCAUAGGAACAUCACGUUCUUCUGCGGAUAGGCUCGACAACUGCCCACUAUCGAUCCACUCCCUGACAUGUGGGGCCAUGAAUGGAAAAACUACCUUGAUGCACCAAGAGGCUUCAUUCCUAGGUGAAAGAUCGUGGAUGUCGCCUAGAGGGGGGGGUGAAUAGGCGUUUUAAAAUAAUUACGGUUUAGGCUUGAACAAAUGCGGAAUAAACCUAGCGGUUAAUUUGCCAAGCACAAAACCUAAAACAAUUAGGCUCACCUAUGUGCACCAACAACUUAUGCUAAGAAAGAUAAGCAACUAUGUGAUAGCAAGAUAUAUGACAAGAAACAAUAUGGCUAUCACAAAGUAAAGUGCAUAAGUAAAGGGCUCGGGUAAGAGAUAACCGAGGCACGAGGAGACGAUGUAUCCCGAAGUUCACACCCUUGCGGAUGCUAAUCUCCGUUUGGAGCGGUGUGGAGGCACAAUGCUCCCCAAGAAGCCACUAGGGCCACCGUAAUCUCCUCACGCUCUCGCACAAUGCAAGAUGCCGUGAUUCCACUAAGGGACCCUUGAGGGCGGUCACCGAACCCGUACAAAUGGCAACCCUUGGGGGCGGUCACCGAACCCGUACACUUUGGCAACCCUUGGGGGCGGUCAUCGGUACCCGUCAAAUUGCUCGGGGCGAUCUCCACAACCUAAUUGGAGACCCCGAUGCUUGCCCGGAGCUUUGCACCACAAUGAUUGAGCUCCGAACACCAACAACCGUCUAGGGCGCCCAAGCACCCAAGAGGAACAAGCUCAAGGAUACCAAGCACCCAAGAGUAAUAAGCUUCUCAACUUGUAACUUCCACGUAUCACGUGGAGAACUCAAACCGAUGCACCAUAUGCAAUGGCAAGGGCACACGGAGUGCCCAAGUCCUUCUCUCUCAAAUCCCACCGAAGCAACUAAUGCUAGGGAGGAAAAUGAGAGGAAGAACAAGAAAGAGAACACCAAGAACUCCAAGAUCUAGAUCCAAGGGGUUCCCCUCACAUAGAGAAGAAAGUGAUUGGUGGAAAUGUGGAUCUAGAUCUCCUCUCUCUUUUCCCUCAAGAACUAGCAAGAAUCCAUGGAGGGAUUGAGAGUUAGCAAGCUCGAAGAAGGUCAACAAUGGGGGAAGAACACGAGUUCAAAGGAUAAGGUUCAAUGGGGAAGAAGACCCCCUUUUAUAGGAGGGGGGAAAUCCAACCGUUAUGUGCUCAGCCCGCACACGAGCGGUACUACCGCUCAGGCAGAAGAAACAGAGAAAAGGAGUAACAAAACAUGAACCUUGGGGCAGUAGUGCCGCAGGAGACAGCGGUACUACCGCUGGGUUAAGCGGUACUACCGCUCCCUUCGGCGGUACUGCCGCGCAGAACGAAGGGGAAAGGGAAAGAGGGAACCGGGCGGUACUACCGCGGAGGAAGGGCGGUACUGCCCCUAAGGAGCGGUACUGCCGCACUACUGCCGUAGCGAGGUACCGCACAAUCCGACACAGAAAAAGACCCCUCGAAUCGACGCGGUAGGGACCUGGUAAGCCAGCGGUAGUACUGCUGAGGAGUCACCGCCUGUACUACUGCUGCGGAGCGGUACUGCCCCUUGAGACCCCUCAGCGGUACUACCGCUGGGUACCACGGUACUACCGCUGGGACCCUGACAAAAACCACACUCAAGAAAACAAGAACUGCCAUAACUUCUGCAUAUGAGCUCCGAAUUGAGCAAACUCAAGCUUGUUGGAAACAAGACGACGAGUAGCAUCAAAACAGCGGCUGGUUAUAGUAAGAAGAGGCAGGGGAGGUAUGCCUAACAAAAAGAGGAGUGAAACCUCCAACCGAGAAGAACCGGCAAAACCUCCAACAUAGAAAACAUCAUAGAAGAUGCAAGCAAACUCCGUUUUCGAUGAACUCAAGCUUUCCAACAAGAUGACCGUAAGCUCUAAGACUCACAAAGAGAACCAAACAAGAACCAAGAAAGAUGAUGCAAGGAUGCAAUGGUUUGAGCUCUCUACUAACGAUACGAUCAAGCUACCAACUUGAGAGCCCCCCUUGAUAGUACGGCAAACGAUCCUAUAACCCGGUCUCCAAACUACCACCAUGAGACCGGUAAAAUAGAAAACCUAUCAAGAGCAAACCUUUGCCUUGCACAUGGUUCACUUGAGCUAGAUGAUGACGAUUUUGACUCCCUCAAGUUGGACUACCUUACUUGAUUGCGUUGGCACGAUGAAGACUAGAUGAUUGCUCCCCCGUAGUCCACUAUGGGUAGGCCACUCUUCGGCACAUCUUCACAAGUCCAUUGUCACCACAAUGGCCAGCAAGCUUCAAGCACUUGAUCUCUUCGCGAUGAUCCACUUGAACUUGCACACGGCAAUCUUGAUGACGAUCAUCACUUGAUGUCAUCCUCUUCAUGGGUUGAGUGAUAUCUUCCUCUUGACACAAGCCCAUGAACACAUACCUAACCCCACGUAGAACUCUCAAAUAGACCAUGGGUUAGUACACAAAGCACAAACAAUGCUUACCAAACCAUGGGAUCACUUGAUCCCUCUCGGUACAUCUUCUAUGCUUUGUGAGUUGAUCAACUUGAUUCACUCUUGACUUAGUCUUGAUCAACCUUGAAUCUUUCCAACUCUCUUCGUUUGGAUGAUGUCUUGAAGGUAAACAUGAAUGAUCACACAAUCUUCUUCUUCAAGACAUGCUUGCAAUAAGCUCAACUCUUAAAUGACCAAUCUUUGGAUAAUUCCUUGAAUAACACCUUGGUCGACACAAACUCUCCUUGAAACCAACACAUGUACUCCAAGAAAAGCCUAUGGACAAAACCUUUAAAUAUAACUCAAGGCAACCAUUAGUCCAUAGAGAUUGUCAUCUAUACCAAUAUAAAAAUACCGAAAGGGGCAGAUCCAAUUGAUCUCGGCCAUCGAACUAAGUUAAUCCAACGACCUAGACUGCUCCAAUGGCGAGCAUUAAACAUGUUUAACAUGCAAUUAAUAUCAUACCAAAUAUUGCACUAAUCAUAGAUUAACACACAAAUAAUAGCAUACCUAAUAUUCGCAUGCAAUUAAUAUAUUCCUAAAUAUUAACGUGCGCUGCACGUGCGCAUUUACUAGUCAAUUACCAAAAUCAAACAUGGAAGCACCGCAUGUUCUUUCACUAGGGACCUUAUAUUAGUACUUAAGAGAAGAGAUACUCUGGUUUCAAAAGGAAAGCAAAAAAAUAAAAAAGGGCUGUAAUUCCAAGGGAGGAAAGAAAAUUUCAAGCGCUGAGAGAAUGGGCCGGCAUAACCAUUUCUAGAUUGACGUUUUGGCUGAUGAAAAAACGGAGGGAGCACCUUUCUUUUCCUGUCACUGUGAACGUUUGUCUGUCUUUUUUUUCCCGAAUUAAAAAACGUAGGGAGCACCUUUCUUUUCCUGUCUUUUUUUUCCAUGUCUGUCGCGAUGCAACCGCAGCCAUCCAAUGCGCGCAGAGCACAUUCUUCCCCUCAAGGCUGCCAUCCUAUCCUCUAACCCUUUUCCUUGCAGAUAUUGUCGGAUUCCAUUGCAGAGAUUAUUCUCCACUCUCAUCACAACUUGGUCGAACAGUGACCGAUCGAUCGUCCAGACCACUGGCACUGUGCCAUGCGGCAUCCACCUGAAGACACGAGAGCCACCGCACCCGUCGUCGCCCCUUGUUACGACCAGUCAUACUCAUAUCGCCGACCCCGAUCUCGCACCUUCCGCGUCUACGUGCGUGCCCGGCGCCGCCACGUCUCCCCGGACGUCGUGAUCGGCGGCCGGAGCGUGCACAGACGUGUGGUUUACCGACACUGGUUUCACCAAUAGUCUAGGCAGUGUCGUGUACACGAGUGUGAUCCAGGUGGAGACGGCGACGGGAGAGAGAUCGAGACCGGGAAGCGGCAGCCAUGGCGAUCAAAAGGCUCUUGAGAAAGGCAGAGAAUCUAGAGGAAGAGGAAUCAAUCUGCUCCCCUCCCACGCCAGUGCCCGGUGGCCCCCGUCCGUCCACCCAAAGCCCUGAGCUUUUCAUCCUGUCCCCCCUGCCUUUUGUUCCCCCCUCGCGCACUCGCACUCGCACUCGCAUCAUCAUUCCCUCCAUAUAUCUCCGCUGCCUCGUCGCAGGAUCGAGCCGGAGAUAGCAGGGCGCGCGCGUGAGAGGCCGACAGGUGUGCGGGACGAGGAAGGCGACGGCUGCGUGUGUUGGUUCGGCGCGCAUGGGAUGAGACGGCGGUGUGAGCGCGUCGCCUCCUGUGGAUGGAUCGCGGGAGGAGCGCGGGGCCCGGCGCCGUCGGUAGCGCCGGCAGCCUGGGGCUCCGGAUCGGGCAGGCUGCCUGCUCGUCGGCGGCCCUCAUGUUCAUGUCCGUCGGCGUCGAGUUCUUCAGCUACACUGCCUUCUGGUAUGUACUCCAUGCAUGCUUCUCUCUCUCUCUCUCUCUCUCUCUCUCUCUCUCUCUCUCUCUCUCUCUCUCUCUCUCUCUCUCUCUCUCUCUCUCUCUCUCUCUCCUGAGACAUGGAAAACCAAACGCUCUUAAAGUUAUAUCUCUUUACGAAAGGAGUACUAUCUUUCUUUCUCCGUAGACAUGGAAAUAUUGAUCUUCUUAUAGAUCCUAUAAAAACAUGGAAAAUAUGUUAUGAAAAGCAUGAAAAUAUGCUGAAGUCUGUCGUUUGUUCUGAACUCGGCGCAAAACAUGGCAGCUUCCUCGUAACGAUCAUGGGCCUGCUGGUCCCCUGGAGCUGCACGCUCGCCAUGAUCGACAUGUACUCCAUACUCGUCGGGUGCCCGCUCCACGUGCCCGGUGUCAUGGCCAUCGUCGUCGUCGGAGACUGGGUAUGUACCACACCACGUAGCUAGCAUCUACCCCUCGUGUCAAUACCCGAUUCUUCAACCUUACUAGUGCUAUAAGAAGCAUGCUGAACAUAUACAGAAUAAAUUUGCACAGGUGCUGUCGAUACUGUCGCUGGCGGCCGCGAGCUCAAGCGCCGCCGUCAUCGACGUCCUCCUGGAGUUCCACGGAUCCCACUGCGCCCCGAGGCUGUGCGAGAGGUACCAGCUCUCCGCCAUGAUGGCGUUCCUGUCCUGGCUCCUCACGGCCGCGUCGUCCCUCUUCAACCUCUGGUACAUCGCCUCCAGGUGAGGUGAGGUGAGGGUGGGUGGUCGCCGAUGCGGACGCCAGACUCUGACUCGCCGCAGCACUUCUAAAUUCCGUAGUCUGUAUAGCUGGAAGGAAGGUUUUGUAUGUGUAUAGCUGGAAGGUUUUGUACUCAAAUUUCAUUUCAUAAACCUGCCUCUGACUAAUCAGCAUUAAGGAUUGUUUGAAGUUAACAUUCCACUUUCCACACGAUCUGCUCUUUGCAUAAUAGGGUUCUAUUAUAUUUUGUUUUCGUUUCUGGUCAGUACAGCAUUUGUAGAGAUCAGUGUCUCGAGAGUUUCUGCAGAAAUACAGGAGGCUGCUGAAGACGGAACAACAUAUGUAGGUAAUAGGCUGAUGGAUGUUAUGUUUUUGUAGCGCAUAUUUCAUUUUCUGAGGAAAAUGGUGACCAUUUGUUGGUGGAGAUUUAUCGGUGCAAAGUAGACAUUCCGGCAUGUGCAAUAGUGCUAUCUUAGGGGUGUCAUGUCGGACAAAUGUUGAGGUGUAAGAAAGAGAAACACGCGAAAAGCCUUUGCCUUCUCUUAGUUAACAAAUGAUCUCUUAAGAACAAAUGCCUCACCACAUUUUUAUGAACUAGACAUAAGAUUAAGAGACCACCCAUUGUGCAUCAUCUUCUUUGUUAUUUCUAGAUUACAUGGCACGAUCAAGAUAAGAUUGUCUUAUAACCCACCGUACAUGCCAUAAUCCACCUCAAUCCCCACCUUACCAAGCUCAUCGUUCACCACCUACCCAUGGAUAGCUUUGCGUCAAGCUGAUAACUAGUUCCACAAUUAUAAUUGUUUAAUAAAAAAGUAUUUGAUUAACAAAAUUUAAGAAUGUGUUGCAAGAAUAUAUAAAUCGUUUUAUUUUGCAUAUUGAAAAAAGGUACUUCAGAAAAAAUAAAAACAUAUUAUGGAAAAGAAAAAAACAAGUUCAUGAGUAUAAAUGUUUGUUCACAUAUUCGAGAAAUAUUCAUAAUGUAUUUGUGACCCAGAUGCUGUAAAAAAGUUCAUGCUGUAUUAUAAAAAUUUAGAAUAUAAAUAAAAUUAUAAAAAUUGAAACAAAAAUGUAAAUAAAAGAGGAAGAAUAAUAUUAAAAAUCCUCUAAAAAUAAUAAAAAGAAAAUGAUGAAGAUAAAAUGUGACACACUAAUGCGCAGGCGGCCCGAAGCGACAUAUUGGGUACGCAUGAAAUAGGAUUUGCACACGCUUCGGGUCUUUAAGGCUUCUCGCGCCACACGGGUUGGGGAUGAGCACAAAAUGCAGAUGUCAUGGUUUUUCUAGGUAAACUUGCAAGCUUUAUUAUGAUGUCGCCGCCGUUAUAGGGACGAACAAAAAAUCACCAGAUGGCCUAACCAAGUAUGGCGGCCAACCUGCAGAUAUUAUUUGUGAGAUGGCCAAGUAGAGGACCAUCACAGUAAAGGCCGGCCCAGUAGAGCGCGUGUCAGAGGCGAGACGGAACUCCACCACGCAACGUGUGAUAUAUAGCUCUAGAUAUUAUUUGCUAGUGUUUCUAUUCAUCGCCUUAAGCAACAAACUUCGACGUGGGCCAGGUUCAAUAAUGCUCUCAUUGUCCCAUGGCAGUUGGUUUCUAAGAGAUUUUUUUUUGCGAGAAAAUUUUCGAUCUAUUCAUCUUCAAUCAUGGCAGUACAACGAAUACCGGAAAUAAAAAAAAUUACAUCCAGAUCCGUAGACCACCUAGCGACGACUACAAGCACUGAAGCGAGCCGAAGGCGUGCCGCCGUCAUCGUCCCUCCAUCGCCGGAGUCGGGCACAACUUGUUGUAGUAGACAGUCGGGAAGUCGUCAUGCUAAGAGAAAAAAAUUGUGGUGUUGUUCUUAAGAAAAGCAUGUUAAUGUUUGCUCUUUUAGAUUACGGGCUACCCUGCUUUUCCUGAUUUGAAAAAUAUAUGUUUGCAAACAAUAUUCAUAGGUUUAAGAAUUUUUAAAAUGUUCCUGAAUUUAAAAAAUCAUGAGUUAAAAAAAGUUCAUGAGAUUUAAAAAACCGUGACAUUGUUAGGAAAUUAUUCAAAAAAUUCAAACAUCAAAUAAAAAGGUAAGGGAAAAAACCAGGGGAAAAUCAGACAAAACUGAAUAAAAAAGAACCCCCUCCCCCCACCCCCACCCCCAAAAAUGGUAGAAAUUCGGUUGUCGCUCAUGCACACAUCCUCCUGUAGUUGGGUCGGCAAGUAGACGCUCCCUGUGUAUACGUACUUUGCAGACUAUUCGUUGCAUUAGUGACCAACAAGAACUUCCACUAUUUUGACGCACUCCGCCGUUUUUUUACAAUCACUAUGGUGUACGAAUAACUCUACAUAACAGCCUUUGGAUGAAACCGAUCCAAUGAUAGAGAGGCGGCAAAUCCGAGUGCUGCCGGCCGUUCGAUCUUCUCUAUGCUACAUAGUUUUUGCCACAUGUCAAAUCUAGAAGAUUUCAUGGUUGGGCUUAAGCCCUAUGGAUAUUUUGCACAAAACUCAAAACAGACUUCUAUUUUGUUCUAUAUAUACUCUUCCAUAUUUAGACUCCUCUAGCUUCUUUUUCGAACGAAAUAAUUUCCAUUUUUACCCGGUGAUUCUUCUUUGUGUUCAAGGCUAUGAUGUACCUUCAUAAACCACAUUUAUGUUUGCAAAUACAUCACUAGCUAUCCUUGUUAUUUUCUAUUAAAAACUGUAACGUGACUCGCAAAAACAAAUGUAAUAUGAGACACCUCCUGGAGAAAACAUGCUCAAUAUAUAUUACUUGAGUUUUGCAUCGUAUACUUCAUGCGUUUGUUGCCUCAAAUUUUCAUUUGCCUACAGUUGUAAACUUGUAAUACAAUAAUAGUAUGCCGAUCUUUUGUUGUAAAUUUGAUUAUCUCGGCUCAAGUUUGUUUUUUUAGGUGAAUCUCGGCUCUCAAGUGCAAUGACCCACUAGUAAACUAGACAGCGACAUGAAAGGCCGCUCCCCAUGACGGCCCAACACUGAUUACAGUAUACACGUAUUUUGUGCUAUAGGCAUAUUAUUCUACAGAAGUAGACAGGUACAAAACAAACAUAUACAGCCACACUACUGGCUCGUGCCGGUUCUAGGAUUAACCCUAGCCAAGGGCCACACAAGCUUGUCGUCUACCUCUGCAACUUGAACGCAUGACCCCGAUCAUGCAAGCUACGGCAGAAAGAAAUACGCACGUGCUCAUUCUUCUCCUCAGCAAAAGGCCGAGCGGUCGCUCGGCAUUCCGUCCAUCUCUCACGGUGGCCACUGGCCACCCUAUUUGCUGGCCGGCUUUCCAGCCUGGGUGCCGUCCUUGCAUUUGCAUUCCGCCAAGCAAUAUCACAUAUCUGUUGCAACCACAGCAAGGACGAUUGGAUUGGAUUGGAUUGGAUGAAUGAUGUUGGAUCGAUCAUUCAUGCACACCUAGAAAACAAUGCUGCUUUGAUGCAUGUUGCAACACUUGCGCUGCGCUUUUUCAUUUGGCUGGGGUCACCUCAGCUGCACCACCUUGGCAUGCACUUUUCUGCCUUGCUGGUAGUGGUGGUAGCGGCGUUCGCCACGGCCCCAGACCGUCUCAAUCUUGGGCAUUGGAUUCAUCCAAAUGAUAGGUGCAAAUUGGAUUGAUCCGCAUCACAGCUCCGUUCCGCUGGCACGUAACGACUGCCUCCGAUCGUGCAUUCAGUCGCCGCUGGUGUGCUUCCUAAUUAAUUAAUAUUUGGACGAUAUUCGGUAUCUCACCUAAACGCCUAAACAUUGUUCUUCGAUUAGCACGAAGGAAAUGAUUGACACCUUUCCUCAGGAAAAUAAAAAUGAUUGAGACCUACGCAUGACAAAGGGAUCACGUUCAAGGAUAGUAAGAUCCACUACAAACUACCCCUCCGAUUCGUAAUAAGUGGCGCAGCUUUGAAUUAAGAUUGAACUAGCCUUAGUUUAAAACUGCGGCAUUUAUUUUGGAUCGGAGAAAGUAUUUCUUUUUCCUAACGAACAGAUUUGCAAGUUCAUUAUAGCACUGUUUCGCAUCCUUCCCAUUAUUGGACACAUGACAGUUGAAUUCGGGUGUCCACUUGCAAAAUUGGAUGUGUGCUGGACGUGCUCGUUCACGGGUGCAAUCAGUGGCAGAGCCAGGAAUUAAGGAUCAGGGGGUCAAAUGACUCAAAGUUUCAAUAACAGAGGCCAAACAAUACUAAUACAUGUAUUUUUGUAUAAAACGUACACUGUUCAUCUAGUAAUUAGCAGAAAAUCUGUAAUCUUAGGGGGGCUAGGGCCCCUGCUGGUCCCCCCGUCUCCGCCACUGGAUGCAAUCAUGCAUUUCUAGGUUUUCGGUGUGCAAAACGUUUAUAACCAAGAACACAGUACACUACAGGCCUUCUCAAAAACUAAUGGAUGCAGCAUUGUCCUUGGGUCAACCACAUCUAGAUGCACAAGCGUUAAUACGAACGCGUUCUUGGAAUAAUCGUCUCUGCGUAUAUGCCAAAUCUGUCUCUGGCAGCAGUACAAUGUACAAGUACGUUCCUAUUAGGACGGUAAAUAAAGUUAUUAGAGCAAGAGUUCUUUAGUACUAGGAAUCUCAGUAAUAAAAUACUGCCUGACUAAUUAAACCAUCUGAAGCGGUGACUAAGAUCUUUACUACAGGCCAAGGAGCCAACCAGCUAGUAACCAAGAAAGAUAAAGAAACGGCUAAAAAAAACAGUAUAAAGAAGUACAAUUGUUGAAACUGUAUUUGGCGGAGCAAUGUAAUCAACUCGACAAUGAGAAUGUGUCAUAAUAUCUAUCGCCUCGGGAGUUAGUGUAGGAUCCAAUUGAAAUACAAACCAGAUUGGCUCGACAAGACGAUUCUUUGUUCUCAUAAAUUUAGAAGUCGAGAACUUCUUUUCUAGAAUACGCACGAGCGUGCAUACUAUAUGUUCAUAGAAGAAAAGGUGAAGAAAACCCACCACCAAAAUUUGUAGGAAACCUAUUUUACAACGCUGAUAAAGCAACCUCCACUUUAGGUAAACAGAAGUCGAGAACCUUUUGUAGGGUUAGCAGAGUAGCAAACCGGGAACAUGUCAUUUCUUCCUCGUGGCUUCUCCUCUUGUAUGUUGUCUCCUUUCCAUGCAUUUUAUAAACUUCGCAUUGGCUAUUUAGUCAGCACCGCAGAUUUGGCAAUGAUCUUAAUUACACACAAAUGUCCAAAGCUUCCCCGGCUGACCACACAACAAAAUGGGUGUAUUUUAACGAACACAUUCUAUUUUGAAGAUCUAGAGCAGCAUCUUUCUUCAUCCUUGUCAUUGCCUCCUCAAACCCGAUAGGGACUGGUGGAUGUGGCUCGAGGCCACCCUGCAUCUCUGACAUAGACCAUAUAAGAUUCUUAGGCUUGUAUAUGCAAUAUUUGUUGGUUCUACUAGCUGUAAAUAUGAAGUCGGGGCAAUUAUCUUACAUGUUAGAGCAAAAAUAUCAUAAAACCAUAACCAGUUUGUGGCUAGAGUGCCACAAAAUCACAAAUAGUAGACUUUUUAAUCAGAAAACCAUAACUUGUAUGGUAACUUGUUUCACAGAACUCAAAUCUUUCAUAUUAGGACGCUUGAGUUUUGACGUUGUUCAUGACAUUCCGGACCCACCAGUAAGCCGCAAUGUGGAAAAAGAGUAACUUCACUUGGUAUUUUGUGGGACCGCCUUGAGUACUUCCCGACCUAAGAUGCUUUUUCGAAAGGCUGGAAGAAUAGUUAUACCAACUUUUUUGGAAAACGACCAAAGUGUUGUCUGCAUUUUUUAGCUAAAAAUUUCAAGUAGCAUAAUUAUUUUAAGAAAAAAAGUUCUAGUAAAUCAACAACCUUAAACUGAACAUCUGAGAAUUUUUAACCCGCUCAAGAAAUUGAGAGAAACUUUAGUCUUUGUUUUUCAGCUACAGGUUUGGUUCAAAUUUGGCCUAAAACUAAAAUUGCCCAGAAAAUUCUAGAAUAUCAACAACAUUGGUCAGAGCAUUCAAAAUCUCAACUUAUGGCCCAAAAACUCAAAGCAUCAACAUUUAUUUUUGCACAGUUCUGGUCAAGUUUAAGGCGGUCCGAUCUAGAAGGAAUUACUCUUUCGCCAUGUGGCCGACCAACUAGUGGAUGUGUGAUGCCAAAAAUAAUGUCAAGCAUCUUAGUCGGAAAGUUUUUUUUUUUGAAAAGGAGGAUACCCCCCAACCUCUGCAUCUCGUGAUGCACACAACCAUCUUAAUCCAAAAGAUUUGGAUUCUGUGAAGUAAUUUACCCUGAAAUUUGUGAUUUUCUGACAAAUGUUUACAAAAGUUUUGAUUUGGUGGAAGUCUUGCCACUAUAGUUGUGGUUUUGUGAUAUUUGGUGUACAUGUUAAGCACAUCAUAUUCCUCAAAAGAAAAUGUUAAGCACAUCAUCAUUACAAACAACACAUUUAACUAAGUUGAUAAAAUAUUCUAAAGAGAACAGAAAAAUAGAACAAACACCCACCUGACAGGGCGACAGGCUGACACAAUGCAUCGAGCACCGUUGAGUAGUCAAGUCAACCCAUUUGGUGCCACUGGCCUAUAUUCCGUUUCCAGCCGUACUAAGUUUGCACGGUGCUAUCACCAUUUUCCCGAGAUCAACGGGGCUCGAACAUUACUUAAACCUCGCUGAAACAAAACCAGCAACGGAUGACCAACCCAGCACCUAGAAAACAUUGCCAUACCACUAAUACGAUGCUUAGGGUGCACGGACACGCGGGCCAAUCAUCCCCCGUACCAAACGCGAGUUAAUAAACCCCGACACCCCAUGAACGCAUCUGGCCGCGUUGAGAUCCGCGGCCGGCCUGCCGUCCAAAGAUUCGCCAUGCCGCCCUCCGGCCCGACGCGCCGGCGACAAGAUCUAUACCACGCACCCCCGCUGCAACCACCGUGGCGUGUGCACCGGUCGAGCCCACCUUCCUCCAGCGAAAGUUCAAGGAAGUUCUGCUCUGCAGAGGCGAAGGCGCGAGCUGCAAACCCGGGGCUUCCCGGGAGGCGGAGGAGCAUGUGUCGCUUUGGUGCGUGGGAAACCCCUGGGAUCAUUGGCCCGGCCGGGGCGACCGGACCAAGUGGCCCGUCGUGCAGCGCGGCUGGCGCCCCACUGUCCGGGCAGCGGAGCAUGCAUGUGCGCGGCACAACCCGACGUGGCCGACGGGGGCGAGCGGCUCGUCGUCGUCGCACGCAUGCACGGCGCCACGCAGGACGUACCUCGCUGGCUGGCCGGGCCGCGAGGCGACGCCCCGGCCCUGCGGUUCAACUAGGCUGCCUCUCCGCUCGACUCGAUUGGUGGUGGAAAUUGGUGUCGUUUGUCUCCUUUGGCGUUCUUGGCGAUGAUUAUUAGUACAUGGUCUCGCGGGCUCCUGGUUCUUGGUUGGACUGACCUUCGAAUCUACGAUCGAUCUCGUGGAGCGGAGACGGGCACGAUCGUGGGCUGCUUAGAAUAGUGAACACAGUAUAAGUGCAAGUUCCUAGGCAUAUGGAUAGGGUUGUGAAACGGCUUGUCGUUUCUACAUCGAGUGUUAUCUGAUACAGUAUGAUACACGACAACCUAUGAUGGGUAAUCCAUGUCAGCUGGUUUCCAUGUGCGCACAGGUACUGUAGGAACUAUGGACAAGAAAGGUUAUGGGCAUGCAUGCAUGCUUGCUUGCUUUCGAUACUGUGGACAAGAAAGCUUCCCGGCAUGCCUCUGUGGUUUGACGUUGUUCUUUGAAGUGAAACUCCCGUAGAUUUGCAUGCAUGUGCGACCCUUCAAAUCUCAACGUUAAUACACGGCUUCUACGUAUUCUCGUCCCGUUUAAAAUUGGCACCAAAGGAAGGUUACACUUACACGCACGCAGUACUGGGUGGACGUAUCCACGCACGAUUCAUGUCUAGUUUUAAGGGGGUGAGCCAACAGAUGCAGCGAGACUGCGAGAGUCCACCGCGCUUUGUUACGCUCGGCAACGGACGAUGACGGAACCAUGCACGCACACAGACAAACCGCGGCCGUUGACACAACCUACGCGUACGUAUGGCUAGCAAGCUAAAUCGAAUCAGACCAGUGGCCCAUGCGGCCGGGCACGUGAAGUCCGUCAACUUUGGUCAGCAGCGCGCUACGCGUACCGUUGCCCAUGACGGGACGCGGCAUGGCGCCGCUCCGGCGCACCCACCUCGCUCCCGGAUAGGAGACUACGCGCCGCUACACGCUAGACUCGACAUGUGCCUACGUGCCUACGUACAUGCGAGCUAGCUCUAACGCAAAAGCUUUGCCUAGGCUUUCCACCUACCAGCAACCGAAAAAGCUCACUGACGCAAACGAUGCGAGGGGAUAUUCCAGAAACUUCUGCAACACGCUCGUAUAGGUCUUUUCGCCAACUUAGCUCUCUGGCCUAACAAAUCUGAGGCCCCGCUCGGUUUGGAGUUGAAGAAACCACAUGAAUGGCAGAGGAUACAGGAAUGACAGAGGAAUACGAUGCUAAAACAUACUCUCUCCUUUCCGGUUUAUAGGGCUUAUCUCAAAAUUUUAGUUUUUCUAUUUUAUAAGGUUCAAUUUAGUUGUUCCCCAUCAUAUUUUCAGACUUUAAGGUGCAUUAAAUCACUGCAUGCAAGUGUUAAGAGAAAACUGACCAAUGCAUGCACUUUAUGCAUGCAUGCAUUGCAAUUAAUGCAUUCGUAAACAUAAUUUUUUGAGGAAAAUAAGAGCAUUAACUGGGUGCUUUUGCAAACUACAAAAAAUAUUCCACCACUCAUCAUCUACCUUGGUUGGUGAGAUUUUUGAAUUGAGCCUUAUAAACCGGAAAGGAGGGAGUAAGAAUCAGUACUUAAUUCAUGAGCUCUGCGGUUCAAACGUUCACACUCUUGUCCCUGGAAACGUUUUGUCAUCUAAGCUCUAAAACUAGAUGAACUNNNNNNNNNNNNNNNNNNNNNNNNNNNNNNNNNNNNNNNNNNNNNNNNNNNNNNNNNNNNNNNNNNNNNNNNNNNNNNNNNNNNNNNNNNNNNNNNNNNNNNNNNNNNNNNNNNNNNNNNNNNNNNNNNNNNNNNNNNNNNNNNNNNNNNNNNNNNNNNNNNNNNNNNNNNNNNNNNNNNNNNNNNNNNNNNNNNNNNNNNNNNNNNNNNNNNNNNNNNNNNNNNNNNNNNNNNNNNNNNNNNNNNNNNNNNNNNNNNNNNNNNNNNNNNNNNNNNNNNNNNNNNNNNNNNNNNNNNNNNNNNNNNUAAACUUAAAAGGGGUUUGAGCAGGAUGCGAUAUGAUUUUCACACAUUCGCAAACUCAGACAACAAAGGAAAUUCUAAAAACAGAGGAUUAUGAAAUUGGAAAUUUAUUUAACAAAUGAAGCCUUAGAGAAAAAUCAACAUUUGAAGAUAAUAUGGAGAAGUCACAAAACACUAAGAUAUAUAAAUAAAAAUAAGGCGAUAAGUUCAUGAAUAGCCAUGGAAAAUCAGGAAAUAUUAGAUAUUCUUCAAGAAUGUUCAUUAGGGUUUCCAAUUGAUUUUUUUCGAAUAGCGUAGAUUUAUCAGGGUUUUUGUGAUUUUCUUAUAAUGGUGUAGAUUUAGCAGGUUUUUAUUUCACGUUCUCUAUCCCAUUCUAGAUUUUACCAUUUUAUCUUUUAAAAAUGAAGCAUCAUGUUUUUUCAUUAAAUAGUUUAUUUCAGUAAAUAUGCAUUUCCUUUUAAUUAUUUGCUUUUUCACGGGUUCUUUUUGUUAUUGGCGUGUCUAGAUCUUACCCCAUGCAUCGAUCAAACUGCUUUUGAGCUGGAUGAGAAAUUCGAACCACUUCUAAAGUUGAGGAUACACUUAUCAUGUUUUAUGGUUAGGAACCAAAAAAAACUUGGCCAUCCAUCGAUAGACUAUAUAUCACUCGAUAAUGCAUAGGAGCACUUGCAGGCUACCUUCCUUGAUAUCUCACCAUUCAAUAUGCAUAGGGAUUUGCACCGCUAUAUUAGCAUGCUUGCAUUCUUUGUUAUAGUUCGCUCUAUGUUUUCUUGUAUAAGUAGUAUAAGGAGAUAUUGUCUGCGCAGACUGUCCCUCUCCUACCCCACUCCUCCCUAUGCUCUCGUGCCAACCCCCAACAACCAACAACGACUCAUUAACUUGUGAAUCACAUGCAUGUAGAUUUUGUUGAUCUCAGAGUUUUGAAUCAUGCAACACAUCUAAUAUUCAGUUUGUCCCAAGUUUUCUAAAUGCAAUAUUAUUUGAACUCUAAAAAUAUCUUUCACAAGUUUCUGUUUUUGUACCAGUUUUAAAAUUGUAUAUCGUUUCAAAUUUGAAAAUAAUUUAUGUUUAAUGCAUUUGAAUAAUUUCCAAGGUUUAGGAAAUGUGAAAUCAAAUAUAUUUCCAUUAAGUUAUGUCUCUUCAAUAAACUAAGAAUCUUGUCAUGGGAUAAUUAAAGUAAAUACUGGAUUUCAUGAUUGUUAAAUUUCAAAUAAAAAAGAAUGGUAAUUCAGUAUUGCAAUUCUUGGAAAAUUCAAGGUACAAAUUUCAUGAAAUUAUGUCUUUCAUUUUUUAUUUCUAGUGAAACAUGAGAACUCAAUGAUAAUAAUUCUAGAAAAAAUACUUAUACUGAUCUCAGGACUUUUUCUGCCAUAAAAAAGUUAUGUUUUACUGACGUUGCCUACUGAUUUAUUAGUGCAGAUGUAUGUAACCAUUUAUCUUCAUGGUCCAGCAAAGAUGAAUUAAUCCUAAUUACAUUGCAUACUGCCGUUUGGUUUCAUUUAUUAAACCGUGGCAUACCUGCGAGCUGCAACACAUUUAUUACGUAGUAAUUAUCUAACAUCCUUUCUCUGCCAACACGCAUGAAUUAACCAUGUGUGGACAUAAAGUCAAUGCACAUUUACUUCUAGCAUAUUGUACCAUUAACAAUUCAAAAAGCAACUCGCCUUUACUUCUCUACAAUGUCAUGUGAGUAUUAAAAUUGUAUUGGUUCAGUAGCAAAACUAAAAAGGAUUUCAAUCUGUAUCCCAAUGGACAUCGAUUGUGGUUCAGAUUACAGGGAGGUGCGCCUCCGUGUGUUCUUCGUCCGCCUCCAUAUAUCACUUAGCUAAUAUAUGCUGCUAAUCUCGUGGCACAUAGUGAAUCGAUGGGUUCCCCGAUAAAAUCUGGAAGGGAAAGUUGCAUGCUUAGCGACAUGGUUGUUUGGAAUGAACAUUUUUUUCGAAACGAACAUUUUGAUCCAUCAAAACAGCAGUUCGAUGUGACAUUUACAUUGUGAUCUUGUCAAGUUGUUUUUUUAAGGAAGCCUCUUGGCGCACUUUAUUGAUGAUUAAAAAGGAUUACAUCGCUCAAUACGCCACUUCUAGUAAAACUUCUGCUCCGAGUUGCAAGCUACUCCCUCCGUGAAGAAAUAUAAAAGCGUUUAGAUUAUUAUUUUAGUGAUCUUUACACUCUUAUAUUUCUUUGUAGAGGGAGUACAACGUUGUACAACCUCACUCACAGUCAUUGAAUCAUUCGUUCUUCGCAACCGUUGGAUGCCAAUCUGGGGGCAGUGAGCUGUCUUGCUGGUUUGUUUCCUGAAUGUGUUUUUUUUUCUUCCUGAAGAACGCAUUGCCGCGUUUGAUUGUACGUACAUAUUUGGACUGUACCUCACCAUGUUUCGUUGUAACUUGUAGUCCGUCCAUUCCCGCGUAAAGGCUGGGCGGAUACGCCAUGUACGCAGUCCAACUUAACCGCGUACAGGCCGGAGCUCACCGUGAGCUUGAUCAGAAUAAUAUCUUCUUCACCGAGUAGCCAAUUGACUGUGACCGCAACGAAAAGCCCGCCGAGUCCACGGCUCCACGGCAUCCGCUGGCCGCAACAAACCUCCAGCCAGGCUGUGCUGCCCCCACUCCCGCCUACACGACACCGCUCCCUCUGCCUCCCCGCUGCGUCUCCCUCUGCCGCUCCGCUAUAUAUGCCAUUGCCGUCUCCGGCAGCAAGCACCCCACGCAUUACAUUUACAUUACCACACCAACAGCGCAAACAAGAGAAGCGCAGGAAGAACCAGACAGAAGCUAGCGCUAGCAGCAGCACACACGCGACGACCAAGAGACAUACAGGGGCGUACGGCGGGGAAAUGGGCCUGUGUGUCUCAUACGACGCUGCGCCCGACGGCCCGGCGACAGCCAGGGUGGUUCUCCCCAGCGGCGAGCUCCGGGAGUACUCGCCGCCCGCAACGGCGGCGCUCGCGUUGGAGGAGGUCGGCGAGAAGGGGUGGUUCCUGUGCGACGCCGACAGGAUGGGGUUCGAGGGCUCCGUCGCGGCGGUGGCCGGCGGCGAGGAACUCCAGCCGGGGCAGAUCUACUUCGUGCUCCCGAGCGAGAUGCUGCGCCGCCGCCUCGCCCCCGAGGAGGUGGCCUCGCUCGCCGUCAAGGCCAGCGCCGCCCUCGUCAGGGCCUCCACCGUGUCGUCAGCCGGCGGCCGGCGCCGGCGGGGCUCCGUGGCGCCGCUCGUGUUCGCGCCGUCCGACGAGGACUACUCGGCCGAGGAUGCCUUCACCUUGGCGACGUUCGCUGCGAAGCCGACGGUGGCGCAGAAGCGGAGGGUGGCGUACCGAGGCGGCAGGUCGCCGCCGAGGUUCUCGCCCGACUUAACCGCCAUCUCCGAGAGCGAGUAGAGGACUAGAGGUGCAUGGUACACGAGACUGCCAAAAAAAAGGGGCGCAUCGUUGCACAUAGCCCUGCCUCGCCUGGCCACGACUGACGCGUGGGCCCGUCCGCUGAUGCUAGAUCGGACGGCGGGGACGCGGAGAUGGGCGCGGCAAAUGUUUGAUAUGUGGAUGUGUGCAGCUAGUUUCUGAGAGUGUGGGGUGGCCGUGGUAGAAAUAGUCGCGUCUUCGGCGUUGUUAAUUUAAACGUCAGAAGCACGAGGAAAUGCACAUACAGAUAUGCAUGUCAAUGUAAUGUAAAUACUGCACCCGCAUCAAAAAUGUAGAUAAUGUAUAAAUGAUUGGAGUAUGUAUGCUCGGUCACUGGCCUGAAUUCCUUGCAAUAAUUCAUGCCUCUCUCAUAUUACCUUGCUGGAAUUCGUGUCCCUAUGUAAGUUUUUCUUUUUGGAAAAGGAACUCACUGCUAUCUAUCAUCAGCUCACCAGGAAGCGAAAGAAUUCGCGGGAAACGCGGGUGGAUUCGAGUGUGUGGGUUAGGCUGCUCACAUAAAGGAAAGAGAAGACGAGGUCGAAAUUGUCCGGACAGUAAUAAAAGCAAGUUAGGGUUCGUCACCAGCGGGAAAUCAGUCCUCGUUUGGACGGAUCGACAGUCCAGCGGAGCAGAGAAGCUGUGGAUGAGGAGGACGACGGUGGUGACCGUGGAGUGAGACGAGAAUCCCUUGCAGGCGGCGUUCCUCUGUGGGAGGAGUCCUGGACCCGGGGGCGGGUGCUCGGCCGACGGAGUGGAGCGCGAUGACCGUCAUAUCCCUAUGUAAGUUAUAUAGCAUAUAUGAUUUUGGAAAUAUAUUGCAGAAAUUGGGGCAUCUCUCGCUGAAAUUUGGGAACCUACACAAUUUUUAUGGAGUCAUAUACGUCUUCAGAAAUACAUUGCAAGAAUUUGGGCCGCCUCCGCAAAUUUGUGGUGUCGUGCUUUCCCCGACUCCGUGCUUUGGCGCGGUUUUCGGGCCGAGCACCAUCUUGUUGCCGGGGGAAGUUCCCUACUCUCUUGACUCGUAUCAGAGGGUUUGAGGAUUGGAUUUGGCUGUGUAUAGUUGCUUCGGUCCUGGAUUCCUUGCAUUGCUUGAUCCAGCCAUGUUUCUUUUGAGCGACAGGUGGACUGAGGUUUCAUUUGCUCGUCGCUAUACCCAGUGGGCUUCUUCUCGUUUUUCCGGUAAGGGUGGCAUGCACUGCGUUGCAAAUCGAGCAGACCGGCAAUGGAGUCAUGACGUCAUGUUAUGUCGUGCUCUCUCUUCUCCAGUUGGUAAUGAAGAUCUGUCCAGCCGCAACCCAAAAGUGUAAAGGUUUGCUCAUACACCUUCCACAAUUUCUGCCAAUUCUUUUCAUGGUGCUAUUGAGCAGCCAGUCGCCCUCCUUGUUACUACUACCGUCCGAAGCCAACCAUGACGACCCAAUAUUCUCUUCUUCAGUACGUAGAUUACACUACACAUGUAUUUUAAGCUGUAGCCAUAUAGUACUUCCUCCGUUCCAUAUUACUCGUUGCUGAUUUAGUACAACUUUGUACUAAAUCAGCAACGAGUAAUAUGGAACGGAGGGAGUAGUAGGCUUUACUUUGAAACAGGUCUUUAUCGAAAAAGAAAACCCAGAGAUACAAACAAACAUAUACAGCCACACCAUUGGCUCGUGCCGGUUCUAGGAAUAACCCUAGCAAAGGGCCACACAAGCUUGUCGUCUACCUACAACUUGAACGCAUAUUGCAGGCCAUGGUACCUAGCAAAGGCCCUCUCUCUCUCACACACACACACGGUGGCAUCCCCAUUUGUUGGCCGGCUUUCCAGCCUGGGCGAUGUCCUUUGAUUCCGCCAAGUGAUUAUCACAGAUCGGUUGCAAGUUGCCACCACAGCGAGGACAAUUGGAUGCAUGAUGUUGGAUUCAUGCACACCUGAAAGAAUUGUUGGUUUCAUGCAUGUUAGCAACACUUGCACUGCACCUUGGCAUGCGCUUUUUGCCUUGCUGGUAGCCUGGUAGUAGUGCUGCCCCAUGCAUGGCCCCAGACUGCCCCCCUCUUGGACAUUGGAUACAUCCAAAUGGGUGUGAUUUAAAUUGAUUUGAUUCACAGCUCUACUACGCUGGAACGUAACUACUGAGUGCGAUCGUGCAUUUUGGUCGCUGCUGGUGGGCGUCCUAGUUAAUAAUUCGACGAUACUUGGUAUCUCACAUAAACUGUUUUCUUUGGUUAGCACGAAGGAGAUGAUUGAGACCUACGCAUGACAAAGGGAUCACACAAUCGAGGAUAGUAAGAUUCUCUGCAAAACUAUUGUUUUCUAACGAACAUGUCGAUUUGCAAGCUCGUUAAUAUUUGCACGUACUGUUGAAAGCGGUUGUUCAAUUUGCAUAUCUGGAUGUGUGCUGGAUGUGCUGGUCCACGAACGCAAUCAUGCAUUUCUUCGCUACAUUUCUAGAUUUUUGGGUGUGCAAAACGUUUAUAGCCAGGCAGGCAGUACACCUUCAAAAACUAAUGGAUGGAGCAUGUCCACCAGGUCAACCAUAUCUAGAUGCACAUCUGAAAGGCGGGUCCGUAACAUGAUGAAAACAUAACAUCUUUCAUACGCGUUCUUGGAGAGAAUCGCCGUUGCGUAUAUGCCAAUGGUGUCACUGGAAGCAGAACAAGCACUUCCCUGUUAGCAUCAUGUGUGUCUCUUCGCUCUAGUUCACAGCACGGUAAAAACAAGAGUUCAUUACUAGGAAUCUCAGUAAUCAAUACUGCCUGACUAAUUAACUAUCUGAAGCAGUAACUAAGAUCUUUACAACAGGCCAAGGAGCUAACCAACCUAGUAAUCAAGAAACAAGAAAAAACAGCUACAAAACAUCAUAUAGAACUGUAUUUGUUGAAACUGCAUUAAUCUGGCGGAGCAAUUCAAUCAACUCGACGAUGGAAAUGUGUGAUGAUAUCAUCUCGGCUACUUGCUUAAGUUAGUGUGUAUAUUUUUUUUGGAGUAGCAGUAGUUGAAAUACAGACAAGAUUGGCUCGACAAAACGAUUCUUUGUUUGCAUAAACUAGAACUUUCUGCAGUGCUAGCAGAGUACCAAACUAGGAACAUGUCAUUUCUUCCUCAUGGCCUCUCUUUCAUAUGCUGUCUCCUACUCUUGUCUUUUAUAUACUACUUCGAUUUGGCCAUUUAGUCAGCACAACAGAUUUGAAAAUGAUCCUAAUCGGAGACGAAUGCCUGAAGCUUCCACGGCUGACCACACACCAAAACGCGCGCAUUUUAAUGAACACAUUCUAUUUUGAAGGUCUAGAUCGGCAUCUUGCUUCGUCCUUGUCAUUGCCUGCUCAAACCCGCAAGGGCCAGGUGGAUGUGGUUCGAGGCCACUCUGUGAUCUGACAAACAAAAUAAGAUUGUCUAGCAAUAUUAAUUUGGUGGUUUUACUAGCUGUAAAUACAAACAUAGGGAAAUUACCUCACAGUUUAGAGCAGAUAUCAUAAAACAUUAACUUUUUUUGCAAUAAUCGUAAAACCAUAACUAUUGUGGCUAGGGUGUCACAGACCACAACUAUAGUAGAGUUUUUGUAGAUGCAAAAAAAUUCUGGCACGUGUCUAGUGGGGUUCAAGGCAGUCUGACGGAGGCGAAUCAAUUUUUUUUCCAUGUAGCGGACCAACUAUUGGGUUUGUAGUGUUAGAAAUAGUGUCAAACAUCUUAAUCUAAAAUAUUUAGAUUCUGUGAAAUUACUUGCCUUAAAAUUUGUGAUUUUAUGAUAAUUCUAUUAAAAACUUAUGAUUUUGUGAAAUGGCCAUAAUAUAUGUGGUGUCUUGACAUUCAUCGUAACAAGCAUUACAUACUUUUGUGCGGGAAAAACCAUCAAUCUAUUCAUCAUAAUUUUGUGCCGUAUGAGCCGCUUGUUGUGUUUUUUGUUUUUUAUCUAGGGCUUAUUGAGUUGUGCUCUCAGCAGAAUCCCGUCUGGACGUGCGUGUGCUACCGCGUGUGUUUGUGCGUGUAUGUGCAACGUGAACCUUGUUGAUUUGUUGGACCUUGUGGCUCUGGUGGUUGCUUUAUACAUAAAGCGGGGCGAAAGCCUUUUUCGGAUAGUAGAAAGAACAUCAGAACAAAAAUUACAUCCAUGUCCAUAGAUCACAUAGCGACGGCUACAAGCACUGGAACGAGCAGAAGGUGCGCCACCAUCUCCACCCCUCCCUCAUUGGAGUCGAGCAAAUCUCCUUGUAGUAGACGGUUGGAAAGUCAUUGUGCUAAGACCCCCAAAGAACAGUGCACCAGAACAACAACCGUCCUCAUGAAGAGAAGCGUAGAUCGUAAGGAUCCAACCCAUAGACACACGAACGCAGACGACAAAGACCGAAUCUACGAAAGAUAAACACCAACCAAAUCUCACGAGAUCCGCCAGAGACACGUCUCCACACGCCCUUCGACGACAUUGAACUCACUACCGGGGCAGGAGCAAGACAGGGAGAACCUCAUUUCAUCUUCAAGGAGCCGUCGCCGGCUCGCCUCCUAAGAGGAUACAAACCCUAAACAAAUUCUAAAAAACACCAAAAAGAGAAGCAGGAGUCCUCUAGCCGGCAAGGACCAGAAUCCACCGUGCCCCUUGGCCCUAAGGCCACAGAAGGAGGUAGAUCGGCGGUGGAGCCGGCGGGAUACUAGGAAACCCUAGUUAGGAAUAGUGUCAAACAUUCUAAUAGAAAAAUGGAUCCUGUGAAACAACUUGAUAAUUUUUGAAGUUAUGGUUUUGCGAAACCCUAGCGAUAAUAGUUGGGAUGUAGUGAUAUUUGCUCCGUGUUAAGCACACUCAUCGUAACAAACAUGACAUCUAGUUAGGUUGAUAAAAUAUUCUAAAGAGACAAAAAAAAGUAGAACAAAUACUACGCACCCUCCAGACAGGUUUGACACAAUGCAUCUAGCACCGUUGAGUUGUCAAGUCAACCCAUUUGAUGCCACUGGCCUGUAUUCUAUUUCCAGCCGUACUAAACUUGCACGGUACUAGCACCAUUUUCCCGAGAUCAACGGGGUUCGAACAUUACUUAAACCUGGCUGAAACAAAACCAGCAAACCCAGCACCUAGAAAACAGGCUAUACCACUAUACGACCGACAGCACUACUCGACGCUUACGGUUUGCGCGGGCCAAUCAUCCCCCGUACCAAACGCGAGUAAUAUAUACCACCUGAACGCAUUUGGCCACGUUGAGAUACGCGGCCGGCCUGACGUCCAAAGAUUCGUGCCGCCCUCCGGCCCGACGCGCCGGCGACAAGAUCUACACAGCACACCCUCUCUGCAACCACCGUGGCGUGCGCAUCGGUCUAUCGGGCGAACUCGAGCUCACCUUCCUCCAGCGAAAGUCCGCAGAGGCGAUGGCCGAUGGAGCAACGGGCGGCGCGACGACAGGCCACGACGCUGGGGUUCGGAUGUGUCUGUUUGGUGCGUGGGAACCCCCCGGGGAAUUAUUUGCUCAGCUGGGCGACCAGACCAAGUGGCCUGUCAUGCAGCGCGGGUGGCGCCCAACUGUCCGGGCAGCGCGGCAUGCAUGUGCGCGGCGCCACCCGACGUGGCCGAAGGCGGCGACCGGCUCGCCGUCGUCGCGUGCAUGCACGGCGCCACGCGCGACGUACCUCGCUGGCUGGCCGGGCCGGUAGGCGACGCCCCGGCCCUGCGGACCCGCUCGAUUGGUGGGAGUGUUUAUGCAUGCAUGGUCCUGGGAAAUGGUGUCGUUUGUCUCCUUUGGCGUUCUUGGCGACGCCUGCAUGAUCGCGCGCUCCGAACUGGCACCUGCUCCUUGUUUGGACUGAUCUGCGACCGAUUCCGUGGAGCGGCGAGGUCCGUUGAUCAGGCAUCAUGUGGUCCGGAGACGGGCACGUUCAUGAGGCUGGUUAGAAUAGUGAACGCCGUAUUAUAUUCCACGCACCGUACAAGUGCAAGUUUCUAUGCGUAUCGAUAGGGUCGUGAAACGGCUUGUCAUUUCUAUGCAUAUGGAGUACGUAUCUCGUAAAUCGAGUGUUCUCACGACAACCUAUGAUGGGGCUUCUAGUCUAGUAAUGCAUGUCAGCUGGUUUCCAUAUGCACGCAAGUACUGCGAACACUAUAGACAAGAAAGGUUCCGGACUUGCAUGCAUGCUUUCGAAUAGAGGUAAUAUCACCAACUUGCUCUGAAUGUUCGGUUUGGUGUUAAAACUUUAAAAAAUUGGAUUUGUCAUCACUCAACUUGCGUUCUCGUGCAAAUACGGCCACAAAGUGCGUAUGUGGGCAAUCCGCUGCCGCGUGGCAGGCCACACGUACAUGGCCCACUGUCGGUGACUAUUGGUGGUGGAGGCGCUAGGUGUGAUAUCAUUUUUGUAGAAAAGAAGUGCUAGAUGUGACGUCAUUUUUUCAGAAAAGAUUCAAGAAAAAACCGUGAUGUGAGCUAUCGAGCCAGCCACCAAAUUCAGUCUUGUCACAUGUGCUAACAACCCACACAAGGCGUCCUUGCCUAUAAUGAGAUGAAUAUUGUAUUAUAUUAGUCAACCCAACAAAUAAUAUAUUUUUUACCAUCGCAAAAAACAAAUAAUAUACUUUUUUGCUAAGACACCCAUAAGGAAAGUUUGAGGGUGAGCGAAUUUUGUUGCCAUUUCGAAAUUCAUACUUGUUCAUGUGUCUAAGGAGAAAUGCAUAAUUUUAUAUGUUGGCAACGACGGCUACCCGUAUCCAACAUUUCUUUUUCUCGAUACCGAUUUUUUCUCAGUAUGGGCCAGAAAAAACAGUUUCUGGAUAAUCUCAGAAAUUUCAGUUUUUUCGACCGAAUUUAUUCAAACAUUUUUUUGGCAUUAAAAUAUAUACAAUCGAACCUAGAAAAGAGCAAAGCUUAUGCACGAUUCCAGCGGUUAGUAAUGCGCAUCUACUAGGUGACCCCAGCUUGGGAGUUCAAGUAAAUAUCAGCUAAAAUUAAUGAUGAAGACCAUUGAAAUCAAUCAAGUGACCAUGGGUAAUACAGAAAAAGAUGUGGCACCGAACUAUGAGGCAGAUCCUCUGAUGUAUGGCCCACUGCCGUUGCGCCACUGACGCAUGGGCUCGGAGCCACAUCAAUGGGCGUCACGGCACGUCAGAGGAGCUGUGUCCUCGAACUAUGCACUGCGUUGUAUGAUUGUGUGCACACAAAUCUUAUUUGAUAUAGUUCUGGAUGUUUAAAUUUAAAAAAUACAUUUGAAAUUUUGGCACGAGGUUUAGUGACCAUCGGGAUUUCUCUGAACAGAAUAACAAAAUAUCUUCUCAUAUCUUGGACCAGUUUUUCAAUUCGAAUUUGAUUUAAAACUUUAUGGUUAAAAAAUCUGAGAUUUUCUGAAAACUGGUUUUUUCGGUCGCACCUAGAAAAACGGAAUCGAGAAAAAAAGCCCAGACGUGCAGGUGAGGAGCCUACAAUUAAACACACAGCGGGGUGUAUCUGUAAAAAGAACAUGAACACAUCACACGUAGCAUUGUGUUGUUCCGGUUACUCACAGUGGCCAUGGCAACGUUAGCAUGCCACAUAAGCAUAAUAUGCAUCUAUAUAUGGAUGAUGUCACUGUAUUUGCACGCGGGGACAAAUUGGAUGACCACAAUUCCGUAUUUUUAAAGUUUUAGCACUAAACUGAACAUCGAACCCAAGUUCUAUGACUUUUGGUGAUAUUAGCUCUUUCGAAUACUAUGGACAACAAUGCUUCUGGGUUUGACGUUCUUCUUUAAACCCCCGUAGAUUUGCAUGCAUGCGCGAUUCUUCAAAUCUCAAAGUUAAAACAUCAUGUCUUCAACCAAUAAUGCUAAACAUACAAAGAGUUACACGCAAUUACACGCUGACUAGAAUUUUUUCCAUCUACUAAUCAAUCAUAAACUUGUCCCCCCUGAUUUUCAGGGGGGUGGGCCGCCUCGCCACCUAUUGACUAAUCAAAUUAACUCUCUUUGUAAAAGCUUGUAACUCGUUUAUACGUGUAGCAUUACUCGUUUCCAACAUGAUCACGUAUAAAAUUGGUCACUAACCGAAAGGUACAUGCAUGCAUGAAAACUACCGUAGUACUGUUUGGACGUGUCCAUGCGUCCACGCACGAUUCAUGUCUGGUUUUAGGGGGUGAGCCAACUGAUGCAGCGAGAGUCCACCACACGUUAUUACGUUCACCAACAGAAGAUGACGGAACGAUGAAUGCACACAAACAAACCGCGCCCGUUCACUGAACCUACACGUAUAGCAAGCUACGGCCCAUGCGGCCACGUGAAGUCCGUCAACUUUGCUCCGCCGGCGCGCCACGCGUACCGUCGCCCAUGACGAGACGCGGCAUGGCGCCGUUCCGGUGCUCCCACCUCGCGCGUCUCGCUCCCGAACUGGGGGCUACAUACCGACCUACGUACAUGAAAACUCUGGCAAGGCUUUUGGCCUACACGCAACUGAAAAAAGGUCAGUGACGCAAACGAUGAGAGGGGAUAUUUCCAGAAGCUUCUGCUUCACGCUCGUAUCGUGCACCCAGCUAAGCUCUUAUCGUUUCAACGAGAAAGGUACUUUCUCUCCGAUGAGGUUUGCAAGGCCAUUCAUAAAACUAAUGAAAUUCCUAAAAUAUCAUGGUGUGAUUACCUUGCACACAAUGAAGCUCCAAUAUAGAAUUGUAUGCAAAGUCCAUCAGCAAAGCUCAAACGUCACUUGUUAUUACAAAACUCGAAUGGGUGUCGGUGAAAUAGGUGGAUUAAGUUCUGACCAAUUACUAAUUGUCUUGAUUUUACAGACAUGGCUCUCUUGCCUACCAAACUCGAAUGGAGGUAGGAGUAGUACCAAAUUCAUGGAUCAUGCAAUUCAAACUACUAAAAUUGUUAUUACAAAAGUCCCUUGCUGCUUGCCUACAACAGUUUUGUCAUCUAACUCUAAAAUUACACAAACCCUCUCAACUUCAAAAAAAAAAAAACUUGGUCCUCGCCGACUUAAAGGGGUUUCAUUAGGCCGUGUUGGGAUUUUGACACACUUUAUAGCCCAACUAAUAAAAAAACAAAGAAAAGAAGUUUAGGAGAAUGAAAAUAAACAUUUGUUGACCAUUUGGGAAUUUAUUUUAAAAUGAAACCUUCGAGCCAAACCAGGAAUUCAACAAAUUAUUGAAAAGUGUUAAAAAAGGAGGCAAUGAACUCAUGAAUAUCCAUGGAAAAAAGGAAAUAUGGGGAUUUUCUAUUAACAUUCUAAAUUGCCUGUGAUUUUCCAUUGAUUUUUCUAUAACAGUAUACAUUUUAUUAUCUUCUAUAUUUCUUUCCAUCAUUCACAUUUUUUGCAAAAUACAUAGAUUUUUCCAUUAUGUUUUCUGCUUUUAAAUGGAGUAUGGUGUUUCUCCAUUUACAAAAAUAGUUUAUUUUCAAUUAAUCUCCAUAUUCUUUUCAUUUCCCUUCCUUUUUCAAUUAUUUUUUUCAUUGGCUUAUGCUUGAUCUGACCACCGUAUCCUCGGUCUAUGUGCAUUGAGUUGGGAGAAACCACAUUUAAAUUUAAGGAUAUGCUUAUCAUGUUUUAUACUUUAGGAACCAAAUAAACCUGGUCAUAGUUCAUAGAGUCUACUAUAUCACAUCGCUAAUCUCCAUCGUCAGUCCUGUGGCCGGUACUAAGCAAAUAAUAUACAUGUGAAAAUUGUUAUACUAUUUAUUCUUAAUCUAGUACUAUGAGGAAUGCCAUAGACAAGAAAUUAACGGAGAUAGAUCUUCUCUAGCACUACUGAUGUGAUUUCAGAAGAAAAAAUGUUUUACAGCUCGAGAAUUGUUCCACUUUAAUACAUUGAAGGUCAUGGUUUUAUCAACUACCCACAAUCCAAACCAUAAUGCUUCUUUUACUAUCGGAUUUUCACAUUUGACAAUCUAUGUGAGUCGCGGCCUCGCGGGGACAAUUAAUCUAAAAACAUUCUCUAAAGACACCCCUAAUGUAUUCACUUAAUUUCAUAAGAAUGUAAAGAGUUUAAAUUCGUAAUUGCACAAUGUGAACAAGAUGUUGAUGGCUCCGCAGGAAAAAAAAAAGUAAGAUGUUUGAUGGCAACCAUAGAAUGGUGCCAAUUCAUUCAUUUUCGUAUCUUAACACUUAAGUUGUUUUUCCCAUACAACCACAUAACCUGGCGUGGGGUUCAACUGUGAAAAACAAUAGAAGUUACUAUUCAAGGACAUAGAGUUAUUUGAAAAGUAUCUAAAAAGAGUUAUUGAAAAAACAUAUCCGGUCCAUCAAAAUAGUAGUUUGUUCUUGUAUUGACCAUGUGAUCUUGUCAGAGUACCUUGCGAAGUUGCUAUAACGGUUUUUACCUUGAGGCCUCAUUCGGUUUGGAGGAUUUUUAUAGGAAAAACAUGGGAAUAAGGACUCCAGAGGAAAUUUUCCUAUAUAUGCAUUCGAUUUAUAGAAAAUGCUUACAGGAAUUUUAUAGAAAUACUAUUCAUUUUCUAUGCUUUUGAAGGAAAUUACACAUCCACUCAAAGCUCAUUUUGCGCACAGGAACGUCAUCCUAUCAAAUUCCUAUACUACUCCAAAUUCCUGCGUUUAGAUUUCCUCCAAACCGAAUGAGCCUUGAUGCUCUCUCUCAAAGAAUGGUGGGUCAACCCUUUCAGUAAAGAGCAUCCUAGUAGAAAGCUAUGGCGUACCUCACCAGAUUUAUUACUUGCACUAUUUGGAACUAAAGAAAUACCCGUGUCUUCUGGCACAAGAGCAUGCUGCAUUUCCAUCAAAUGUGAGGCUAAGCUUUGGUUAACCGGGUGCAAGAAAUUGGUCUGGUUAAUACCGGGAGAAUGAUCUUUUUGUGUAAUUCAGGCCAGUUGAGUUUGAGUGAAAAAAAACUCUAUUCACUUCUUAGUUAAAGGAUGAGACAAAUCUUUCGCCGUCGUUUUUGGAAGACAAUAUCUUCAAAAUUAUUGGAUGCUAAGUCUGGAGGUAACGAGCUGUCCGUUGGAUUGUUUUCUGAAUUUCUUUUCAUGAAGAACGCAUUGCCGUGUUUGGUUGUACGUACAACGUAUUUGUGCGUUGUCCAACUUAACCGCGUGGGUAGGGUUUUGCUAGCUGGCCGGAGCUCACUGUUAACUUGAUCGGAAUAAAUAUCUUCUUCACCGGGUAGCCAAUUGACUGCGCUUGCAAAGAAGAAAAGCUCCGCCGAGUCCACGGCACCACGGCAUUCGCUGGCCGCCACAAACCUCCAGCCAGGCUGUGCUGCCCCCACACCCGGCUACACGACAGCGCUCCCUCUGCCUCCCCGCUCAGCCGCUCCGCUAUAUAUACCAUCGCCGUCUCCGGCAGCAACCACACCAGACACCACGCAUUACAUUUACAUCACCACAACAACAGCGCGAACAAGAGAAGCGCAGGACAAGAACACGCGGCGACCAAGACGAAAUGGGCCUGUGUGUGUCGUACGACGCGGCGGCCCACGGCCCGGCGACCGCGAGGGUGGUGCUCCCCAGCGGCGAGCUCCGGGAGUACUCGCCGCCCGCGACGGCAGCGAUGGCUCUUGAGGAGGUGGGGCACCAGGAGUGGUUCCUCUGCGACGCCGACGCGAUGGGGUUCGAGGGCUCCGUCGCGGCGGUGGCCAGCGGCGAGGCGCUCCUGCCGGGGCAGAUCUACUUCGUGCUCCCCAGCGACAUGCUGCGCCGCCGCCUCGCCCCCGGGGAGGUGGCAUCGCUCGCCGUCAAGGCCAGCGCCGCCCUCGUCAAGGCCGCCACCGUGUCAUCAGCCGGCAGCCGGCGCCGUCGGGGCUCCGUGGCGCCGCUCGUGUUUGAGCCGUCCGAGGAGGACUACUCGGCCGAGGAUGCCUUCACCAUGGCGACGUUCGCGGUGAAGCCGAUGGUGGCGCAGAAACGGAGGGUGGCGUACCGAGGCGGCAGGUCGCCACCGAGGUUCUCGCCCGACUUAACCGCCAUCUCCGAGAGCGAGUAGACGUGCAGCGCAGACGAGACUGCCAAAAAGGGGCAUUUUUGCACAUAGCCUUGCCUUGCCUGGCCGCGACUGAGGCGUUGGCCUGGCCGCUGAUGCUAGAUCGGACGGCGAAGAUGCGGACAUAGCCGCGGCACAUGCUUGUGGAUAUGUGGAGUUAGUUUCUCGGAGUGGUAUAGAAAUAGUCACGUCAGAAGCAUUGUAUAAAUAUUGCACAUACAGAUAUGUCAAUAUAGUGUAAAUAUUGCGCCCGUGAAAAAAUAUACUCCUUCCAUCCGAAAAUAAGUGUCUGGAUUUUAUACUAACUUUUGGAGCAGUAAUCUUCCAAGUUACAAGCCAAUGAUCAGGGAGGAUGGCGCAGUAGAACACAAGAAUGCAAACAUAGGAGAAACUAAUUUUGUUAACUAAAAUAAAUAAGAAAGUAGGCGCAGUAGAACACAAGAAUGCAAACAUAGGAGAAACUAAUUUUGUUAACUAAAAUAAAUAAGAAAGUAAGUGUGCGAAAAAUAUUGAAAAUGGAAGAUAGUGUUUGAUGUGCCGCUAGUUUUGUCUGAAUGAAUUUGCUUGAAAUUGUGUGAAGACAUAUAUGCACACCAACCUUGGAGAAGAUGUUUUUUUUUUUGAAACGGGCAAAAAAGCUUUUGCCUUAUAUUGAUGUAGGAGAAGCAAACGGGGGUAUGACAAGAGCCAAAAACAACAAAAAAACGAGGAAGGGGGCGACCACCGCCCCCGACAUAGGGGGAAGAGGAUCAGCCUACAAGUUCCGCCAGAUUUUUAGCACCGGCUAGGAUCCAGUCCUUCCCCUCUUCCCUAAUCUUAUGCAUGACAACCGAUGGCAGGGAGGACUUGUUGUUGAAAACUCGUUCGUUCCUCUCUUUCCAGAUCUCCCAAGUGAUGAGCGUGAUAGCUGAGCGCAAGCCAUUUGGGGAGGAGGUGGUGGAUUUCGAAACGGCCAACCAAAAGUCCACGACUUUAGGCCUACCCUCCCCGAUGCUGCUGAUGAGGUCUGGACAAGACAACCAAGAGGCCGCGGCCGUCCAGAUACGUCUGGAGAAGCGGCACUCGAAAAGAAUGUGUCGUGCCAUCUCAGGGGAGGUACGGCAGAGCUGACAAGUAGGUUGGUGCGGCCAUCCGCGUUUCGCCAAGCGAUCGGCGGUCCAUAAACGGUUCUGGACAGCGAGCCAGGCGAAGAAACGACACUUUGGAGGGGCCCAGGUCUUGCACACGAUGUUCCCGAACUGGCAGGGCAAAGAGGCAAGGAACUGGACCUUGUAGGCGGAGGUGGCCGAGUAGCACCCAUUAGGGGUCAAGGACCAGGUAAUGGAGUCCUCAGUGUCAGGAUGAAGCUGGAUAUCCGACAAGAGCUCCCAGAGGCGGACGUAUUGUUCCAUGUGAUCGGCCGUGAACGCAUCCACCGCUAUGUCCGAGAUCCAGUUGUUAUCAGCGAGAGCGUCCUGGACCGUCCGAUUCUUCCUCUUGGAAGCCUUGAAAAUUAGGGGAGCCGGGUCUUUUGGCGGGGCACCAUUGAGCCAUGAAGACGACCAGAAGGAGGCCUUGGCGCCGUUUCCGAUGGUGACGCGAGUAGCCGCAUUGAAGAGGUCAAGGUCGAAGGCGUCGUUGGGUGUUUCAGAGCCCACCCAUGGCUUCUCAGGAGCCUUCCACUCAUACCAUAACCAGCGAAGCCUCAGGGCCCGGGAGAACCUCUCCAGGUCCAGAACCCCCAAACCACCGAGCUCCUUGGGGCGGCAGACCUUUUGCCAGUUGACUUUGCAUUUCCCUCCACUAACCGCCUCCUUACAGGCCCAGAGCAUGCCACGACUGAUCUUCGCAAAGGCCCUGAGGAUGCCUUUGUCAGCCUUUAAAGCCGUCAGCAGGAAGAUUGGCAUGGAGGAGAGCACGGACUUAACCAGAGCAGUGCAGCCGGCACGGUUCAGGAACUUUCCUUUCCACGGGCUAAGACGAGCCACCGCUUUGUCUAUGUAGGGUUGAAGGUCCACACGUCUAAGUCUUCCGAGGGAGAGGGGCAACCCCAGAUACUUAAUGGGGAAGGGGGUUGUAGUCGCUGGGAAGUUCGCCAGAAUCUCCUCCAAGUUAAUGUUGGCGCAUUGGAUGGGGGCGAUGGAGCUCUUGGGAGAAGAUGUUUUGAUAUUUGCUACAACAUCUAUUGUAUAUUCUUCCAUGCACAUACAACAUCUAUUCAUGGAAAAUAACCAGGCUCGUGAACUCUUCAAUAAUAUUUGAAAAAGAAUUAGCAGACUCAAGCACAAGAUAAAUUUUCUUCUAGCCCAUCCUUCAUGACAUAAUAAAUACUAGAGCUACGCUCAAAAGGAAAGGAUUUUUUAUGAAUGACUACACUUGUACUCUCUAUAACCAAGCCACCGAGGAGACGACCCACCAUUUUCUACAGGAUUGUGAUUUUGAUUGGGAAUGGUGGAACUCAAUUAACUCAAAAAAAGGGGGUCAUUUUUGCUUACAGUGACUCCCUACUCAGAGUUCUCACCCAUGAAAAGCUCCUAAACCCCUUGGCAUGGACAUCCUCAUUCUCUGAUGUUGGAAUUUUUGGAUCUAAAGAAAUGGAAAGAUCUUUAGAAGUUUACAAUCUUCAUUGGAAUCUUGGAAGCUUACCCAUACUUAUAUAUAGGAAAUUGCUGUUUGUUUUACCGUUUGUGGUUAAAUUACAUCUGCAUCAUACUUAUUUGCAUGAAUUUCAUCUGCUUCUUUAAAUCCGCUCUGAAUUGUAUGCGGGCACAGUUGGAUGGCCGGCUCCCGCGUCUCUGUCCAAGGACUGGCCUCCCCUGUCGGCGGACGGAUGCGGUAGAAAAUUGGCCGGGUCAUCGUCGAAGAUACCCUAACUCUAUCAAAGAGCCACACAAGCUUGUCGUCUACCUGUAAACUUGAACGCAUGAUGGAGGCCAUGGUACUACGAGAGAGUGAAAUAAACACGUGGUUUUUCUUUCCACUGAAGAAAAUGCCAUAUCUGUCGCGCUGCAUCCGGCCCCGGCUCCGGUCCCCUCUGUCCCUCUCGCACGGUGGCCACCCCAUUUGCUGGCCGGCUUUCCAGCCUGGGUGCCGUCCUUGCAUUUGCAUUCCGCCAAGCAAUAUCACAUAUCUGUUGCAACCACAGCAAGGACGAUUGGAUUGGAUUGGAUUGGAUGAAUGAUGUUGGAUCGAUCAUUCAUGCACACCUAGAAAACAAUGCUGCUUUGAUGCAUGUUGCAACACUUGCGCUGCACUUUUUUGCAUGUGGUGCUCCGUACCGUCUUUAUCCUGAUCUCAUAGUAUGUUGGAUGCAUCCAAAUACCAAAUGGGUGUUCGGAUCGAUUCGCAUCACAGCUCCGUUCCGCUGGAACGUAACCACCACCAACGAUCGUGCAGUCAGUCUAUGCUGGCGUGCGUAUCUGCUACUUCGAUGAUAGUUGGUAUCUCACCUAAGCUAUUUAUUCGAUUAGCACGAAGGAAAUGAUUGAGACCUACGCAUGACAAAGGGAUCGCACAAUCAAGGAUAGUAAGAUCCACUACAAACUAUUUCUUUUUCUUUCUAACCAACAGAUUUGCAAGCUCGUUCUAUAGAUAGUUAACCAGCACUGUUUUUGGUUCCUUGGCAUUAUUGGACAGUACAGCUGAAGGGCACCCGAAGGUUGUUCACUUGCAAAUUUGGAUGUGCGCUGGACGUGCUCGUCCACGGAUGCAAUCAUGCAGUUUACGGCCUUCUAGAUUUUCCGUGUGCAAAACGUUUUAUACUCCAACCAGGGACACGUACAGUAUACACCUUCAAAACUAAUGGAUGGAGAAGGUCCAUGAGGUCAACCACAUCUAGAUGCAACUGAGACGAGGGUCCGAAACAUAAUGAAAACAGAGCGGGCACAAUCGUGAACACGCGUUCUUGGAGAAAUCGUCGCUGCGUAUAUGCCAAUUGUGUCACUGGCGGCACUACUUCCCUGUUAGCAUCAGGGGUGUGUCUUUGCCCUUGGAGUAUGCUAUGUUACCUGAGCAAGAGUUCAUUAGUACUCUAGGAAUCUCACUAAUAAAAUACUCCUGCCUCGGUCAUUUAACUAUCUGAAGCAGUGACUAAGAUCUUUACUAUAGGACAGGGAACCAACCAACCUAGUAACCAAGAAAGAAGAAGAUCAGCUAAAAUAACAGGAUAUAGAACUGUAGUUGUUCAAACUUCAAACUGUAUUAAUUUGGGGGAAAUGUGUGACAGUAUCACCUCGCCUACUUGCUUAUGUUAGUGUAGUAUUUUUUUUAGGAUCAGUUAGUGUAGUAUUCAGUUCAAAUACAAACAAGAUUGGCUCGACAAAAUGAUUCUUUGUUUCCAUAAAUUAUAAUCUUUUGCAGUGUUAGCAGAGUGGCAAACUAGAAACACGUAAUUGCAUCGUCCUUGUCAUUGCUUGCUCAAAUCGACAAGCGGCCGGUCACUGCCUGCUAGCUUAGAAAAAAUCAGCCAUCGCAAUUUUUAUUUAAAAUUUUUCAACAAAUCAAAAGGUUGUUCGUAGAUUUCAGAGAAUAUUGUGAAUUUAAAACUAUGAAUUUGAAAAUAUUCACGGAUUUCAAACAAUGUUCAUGAAUUUUUUAAAAAGGUUCACAAAUUAAAAUAUGUCAUACUUUAAAAAUAUUCACAAUUUUUUUAAAGAAUACAUGAAUUUCAUAAAGAAAACACAUAUUUUUAAAGUGUUCACGUAUUUUAUUUUUCAGGAAUUUCAAUAAAUAUACAUGAAUCCAUAUAUAUAAAUUAAAAUAUAGAAGAAUUAAAAGGACACAUGAAAAGAUGUAAAAAUGGGGAAAAUCCAAAAGAAAACUAUAAAAACUGAUACUAAAACACGGGAAAAAAGGAAAAGAAAAACUAAGGAAUACCUUCUCAAAAAGGGAAAAUAGGUGUGCGUUUCUCUCAACCAACGACGCGCGCCCUUACAGGCAGGGCCAAGAGGCUCGAAAUCUAGGGUGCUUAGUAUCUUAAAUAGAUGUUAGAUCAAAUAUCAUAAACCAUAACUGCUUGUGGGUAGGGUGUCACAAAACAACAACUAGUAGCUUUUUCAUCAGAAAACCAUGACUUGUGGGUAAAUUUGUCACAUCACUCAAAUCUUUCAUAUUAAUUUGUUUGUGUUUUAAUUUUGUUUCUAACACUCUGGAUCCACCAACAAGCCGCCACAUUGCAAAGAUUGGCUUCUUCUGGGUUUUUUGUUUGGAUACAUUGAAUCCGUACAAACCAAAAAGUUUUAUUGAAUGACAGAAAGAACAUUUCUACCAAAAAAAUUUGGAAAAUGUCCGGAAUGCUGUCUAAAGUGCAACUAAACUAUGUCCAAUUUUUCGCUCAAUAUUAAAGUGCCAAAAAAAUUUCUGAAGAAAAUGCAGUAUAUCGACAAAUUUGUAUUUUAUAUUUUGGGAAAUUUUCAACUCGUUCAGCUUAACAAAUUGAUGAAACUUCAACUUUUCUUUUUUGAACUACAAUUAUGGCUCACAUUGUGCCCCAAACUAAAAUUACCAAUAAAAAGCUAAGAAAAUCAAUCUUGAAGACGACACUGAAAUAAGCAUUCUGGCAAACUGUGAAACUCAUUUGGAUCAACCACCAUUUUUCCGAGAUGAACGGGGCUGGAACAUUUCUUAAACCACGCUGAAACAAAACCAGCAACGGAUGCCCAACCCAGCAUCCUAGAUAACAUUGCCAUAUAUACCACUAAUACAAUUGACAAUGCAACCGUCGAUUUGCGUGGGCUAAUCAUCCCCCGUACCAAAACGCGAUUAUUAUACACCCUGAGCGCGUAUGCCCACGUUGAGAUCCGCGGCCGGACUGCCGCCCAAAGAUUCCCGCUGCCGCCCUCCGGCCCGACGCUCCGGCGACAAGAUCUACCACGCUUCUCUGCAACCACCGUGGCGUGUGCAUCGGUCUAUCGGUCGAACUCACCUUCCUCCAGCGAACAUUCGAGGAAGCUGUGCUCUGCUGAGGCGAAGGCGCUAGCCGGAGCAACGGGCGGCGCGACAGGCCACGAGGAUCGGGAUGACGGGAUCGGAUGUGUCGGUUUGGUGCGUGGGAAAACCCCUGGGGAUUAUUGGCCCGGCCGGGCAGACAAGACCAAGUGCCCCGCCGUGCAGCGCCCGGGCAUGUGCGCGGCGCCACCCGACGUGGCCCAUGGCGGCUAGCGGCUCGUCGUCGUCGCGCGCAUGCACGGCGCCACGCGGGACGUACCUCGCUGGCUGCCCGGGCCGCUAGGCGACGCCCCGGCCCUGCGGACCCGCUCUAUUGGUGGGAGUGUUCACGCAUGCAUGGCCCUGGGAAAUGGUGUCGUUUGUCUCCUUCCGAAGUUAAAGUACCACAAUUGGGGCAUUGGAAGCAGAUUGGUACCACUUUUGAUAAUUUUUACAUGUCAGUACCAAGUCUGGGGCUAGCCGUUACAAAAAGGUCUAAACCGCGUAUAAACACGUAUUGACGGGGUAUCUGACCAGCAGGGCCCGCCUGUCGGGUGCCGAUGUGGCAUGUUUUUUGCAGAAAGCCCCCUUGCUUCGCCGGCGCUACUGUUCAUCGUCUCCACGCGCGGCGAUGCCCGAUCUAGAUCGAGGGGAGGAGCCCCUCGAGCCGAGCUUCUUUGCCUCCCGUAACCGCCGCCCCGCCCUCGGCCUCCACCUCGCCUCGCUUGCUUGUAGCCGAAGCAGGAGAGUCAGCGGGACUUGGCGCAACUCCGGCAACAGGGAGCGGCGAAGGGCGCGGGAACCGAUGGAUCUGGACGACGACUCGCGCGACGGAGGGCAGGAGGGGCGGCCUUGGUCCUCUAUUCAUACGACAGAGAGGGAGGAAACAAGGAGACCGCGAGGGGGCCUGGUCGCCGGCGAUGGCUGCUCCGGCGAGGCGCGUGGGGCGGGGUCGACACGACCCUCGGGCGGAGGCGGCUGGGAGGAAGAGCCCGGCCACGAGGAGGCGGCGGCGCGCCGGUGAGCGAGCUGGGGAGCUCGGGAGGAGGGCGAGGGGUCCUCGUGGCUGCUGCUGCUCGCCGGCGACGGCUGGGGGCGGGGACGGCGAGACCCUCGGGCGGAGGCGGCUGGGAGGAGGAGCCCCAGCACGAGGAGGCGGCGGUGUGCUGGUGAGCGAGCUGGGGAGCUUGGGAGGAGGCGCGAGGGGUCCUCGUGGCUGCUGCUGGUCGCCGGCGACGGUUGGUUUUCCUCCCCUGCUGCGGCUGGUUUUCUGUGCGGGGGGAAGGGAGGGGUGUUUAUGAAAAAAAAGUGCCACGUCGGGACCCGACAGGCGGGGCCCGCCGGUCAGAUGCCCCAUCAAUACGUGUUUAUACGUGGUUUAGACCUUUUUGUAACGUAUAGCCCCAGACUUGGUACUGACAUGUAAAAAUUACCAAACUUGGUACCAAUCUGCUUCCAAUGCCUCAAUUGUGGUAAUUCUGUGCAAUUUACUCCUCCUUCGGCGUUCCUGGCGACCCAUGCUUGGUUUCGCUCCUGGCAAGCACCUGGUUCUUGUUUGGACUGACCUCCGAAACUAGGAUCGAUCUCGUGGGGAGGAGAGGGCCGUUGAUCGUGUGAUGAGUGGUGGUGCAAUCCUGUGGUUAAUAGACGGGCACGACCGCGGGAAUGGUUAGAACAGUGAAACGCCGUACUCUAUUCCACCCACGGUACAAAAUGCAAGUUUCUAGGCAUAAUGGAUUAAUGGAUAUAUAGGGUCAUAAAACGGGUUGUUGUUUCUAAGUACACGACAACCUUUGAUGGGGCUUCUAUGUGUUAGCUGGUUUCCAUGUGCACACAAGCUUGACAAGAAAAGUUCCGGGAUGGGCAUGCAUGCUUCCAUAUCCAAAUAGGAAAUACUAGGACCUACGAAAAGUUUUUACACUGAAACUUGGAGUAUGUUUCUGUGGUCGGAAGUUGUUCUUUACACUGAAACUCCGGUAGAUUUUCCAUGCGUCCAUGUGCAGCUCUUCAAAUCUCAAGGUUGAAACUUGACGUCAGAUUACUCUUAUAUCGAGCAUUCUCAUAUGAUCUUGUAUUACCGUCCCGCGUUAAAAAUUUCGCACCAAACGGAAGGACAUGCAUGCAGUAUUGGGCGGAGCAAGUUUUUCAUCCCCAACCUCUUCCUUGGCGUGGGCGGAGUAGAGUCGCCUUCUAGUGAACCGGAAUCGAUGCAUGCGGUGGCGACGUUGGCAAGGUUGGGCCGCGUUGACGGGAAGGGGUGGCGCCCUGGGCGGGAGUAAGGAGUGGCCGAAAUUAUCCUGAGAAGUGGCACCGGUGAAGUACAGAAAUGAGAGACUUGGGUUGCUUUUUGAGACAUCUCCUUAAUUUUUUGCUCCUGUGUACAUUAAGAGUUCAGCUAGGUACAAUUAACUACUCGUUUUACUCCUCUAAAACUAGUCACAAUAGGUAAUAAUAUAGACUAGUAACAUGUUGUAGACUCAUUUUAUUUUGGUACGUGUGAUGUUCCAGUAACUAACUAUGUUACCACAUGCCUCUAUUUCCUCAUUAAAUACUCUCCACAUCAUCUAUUUUACCUAAAGAUGUGUGAUGUUAUCACCUCCCACUAUGGGUAGUCUAAGACUAGCCACAGUGGAGAGUAACAUAAACUAGUAACAUAUACAUAUCCCUAGACUAUAUUACUACCUUCAUAAUGGAUAUUAACUUAAGUGUGGUAACAUGCAAAGAUUCAUUGAUUAGGUUAUAGACUCAUAUUGCAUUGGGACAUGUGAUGUUACAGUAACUAGCUAAGAGGGUGUUUGUUUCCAGGGACUUAUUGGUCUAGGGACUUAAAUAAGUCCCUAUAAGUCCCAUCUAAACCAAACAUGAGAGACUUAUAGGGACUUAAAGUGGGCAUUUGGGACUUAUGAAAUAAGACUCUCAAGGAGGGACUUAUAUGGACUUAUAGUUGUAAUAUGGUCUUAUAGAGACUUAUAAGUCCUAGGAACCAAACAGGUAGGGACGACUUUUUAGGGACUUGGGACUUAUAAGUUGGGACUAAAAAAAGUCUUAGGACUUACGAACCAAACAGGGCCUAAGUUACUACAAUUACUUCUCCUCAUUAACUCAUUGCCACAUAAGCAAAUUUGCUGAGUUAGACUUGAUGUUACUGCCGAAGUUACUUUCAUUAUGGCUAGUCUAAAGGUUUUUAAAGAAUCGGCCAGAGAGAGUCAUCUUUUGUAAAACCAAGACAAUGAGUAAUUGGUUAUCCAUAUUUCACACAUUUUUUACUUUUGAGCUUUUCUGACAGGCUUGCAUACAACUUUUUAUUAGAGUUCAUUGUAAUCACAACCUAAUAUUUUGGAAUUUCAUUAGUUUCGUAAAUGUCUUCUCAAACCUCGACGGAGAGAAAGUACCUUUCUUGUUGAAACGAUAAGAAGAGCGCUUAGCUGCGUGCACGAUACGGGCGUGAAGCCAAAGUUUCUGGAAUAUCUUCUCAUCGUUUGCGUCACUGACCUUUUUUCAGUUGCGUGUAGUCCAGAAGCUUUGCCAAAGUUUCAUGUACGUAGGUACGUAGCCCCCUGUUCGGGAGCGAGACGCGCGAGGCGGGAGCGUCAUCGCCGGAGCGGCGCCAUGCCGCGUCUCGUCAUGGGCGACGGUACGCGUGGCGCGCCCGGCGGCGCAAAGUUCACGGACUUCACGUGGCCGGCCGCAUGGGCCGUAUGUAGCUUGCUAGAUAGUCCACGGCUCCAUGCCAUUCACUGGCCGCAACAAACCUCCAGCCAGGCUGUGCUGCUCCCACUCCCGGCUACACGACAAUGCUCCCUCUGCCUCCCCGCUGCGUCUCCGUCAGCCGCUCCGCUAUAUAUACCAUCGCCGUCUCCGGCAGCAAGCACACCACGCAUUACAUUACCGCAAAAACAGCGUCAGCGCGAACAAGAGAAGCGCAGGACAAGAAGCUAGCAGCAGCAGCAGCAGCAGCACACAGGCGGCGACCAAGACGAAAUGGGCCUGUGUGUGUCGUACGACGCGGCGGCCGACGGCCCGGCAACCGCGAGGGUGGUGCUCCCCAGCGGCGAGCUCAGGGAGUACUCGCCGCCCGCAACAGCCGCGCUGGCGCUGGAGGAGGUGGCCCAUCAGGGGUGGUUCCUGUGCGACGCCGACAGGAUGGGGUUCGCGGGCUCCGUCGCGGCGAUGGCCGCCGGUGAGCAGCUCCAGCCGGGGCAGAUCUACUUCGUGCUCCCCGCAGAGAUGCUGCGACGCUGCCUCACCGGCGAGGAGGUGGCCUCGCUUGCCGUCAAGGCCAGCGCCGCCCUCGUUAAGGCCGCCACCGCCUCGUCUGCCGGCGGCCGGCGCCGGCGGGGCUCGGUGACGCCGCUCGUGUUUGCACCAUCCGAGGAGGACUACUCGAACGAAACCUUGGCGAAAUUUCCAGUGAAGCCGGCGGUGCCGCAGAAGCGGAGGGUGGCCUACCGAGGCGGGAGGUCGCCGCCGCGGUUCUCGCCCGACUUAACCGCCAUUUUGGAGAGCGAGUAGAGGUGCAGGGCACACGAGACUGACAGUAAAAAAAGGGCGCAUUUUUGCACAUAGCCCUGCGCCGAGUAGCCGCGAGAGGUGCGUGGUUUCGGCCGCUGAUGUUAGAUCGGACGGCGGAGAUUGACGCGGCAAAUGAUUGUCAAGUUGGGUGGUAGAAGCAGUCGCGUUUCACUGUUUUGGGCGUUGUUAAUUUAGACGUCAGAGAAACAGGAGGGAAUGCACAUACAGACAUGUAAAUGUGAAUACUGUAUAAAUGCUUAGUUACUGGCCUUAAGUCCACUGUUCGUGCCCUUAUUUUUAAAUUUGCUCCGCCGAACCAGUAAAUCAGAGGCCGGUGCGAAAGUUUUAAAAAGAGCCCAACUCUUGGAAAAAGCUAUAAUGUUUUUACUUGAUAAUCAUAAUUUUUUUUUAAAAAGAACAAAGUUACUAACACACCCGUACAAAGAAAGAGAACUACAAUCAAUUUCUUGGGUGUGCCAAAAUAUUUUUCCUCAUGCAUCCGUUGGCGACACGCCGUGAGCAAAGCUUGAUGCCGUCUUUGGGAUUUCGCUUCAGUGGAGCAAACUUGUUUAAACCUAAGAGCUUGUAGAGGCAAUGGCUGGAAAGUCGUCAAACAGAAGACGCGAGACUGAUGAAGUAUGUGACCAAGAUGUCACAUUUAAUAAAAUAACUGAGUAGUGAAGUUUAACUCGGUGGCCUAAAACUAAACGAUUUUGGCAAAGAAAAAGAAAGUUAAGUUCAACAGAUCGGUAAGAAACGGCAAUAUUUUAGAGGAGGAAAUAUAUUCCUCUAAAAGAUACUCAGUCGUAUCCUUCUCUAAAUUAUAGGGGAUUGUUACACAUGCAUUUAGUUUCUUAGAGUGCUGGGUGAGGUGGCUGCUGGCCGUGGUAGAAAUAGUCUCGUCUUCGGGGACUGUUAAUUUAAACGCCAUAAACACGAGGAAAUGCACGUAUAGAUGAAUGUAUUGUGAAUAUUGCACCCGCAGAAAAUGUAGAUAAUGUAGAAAUUAUGUGGAAUACGUAUGCUCGUUUACUGGUCUGAACUCCAUUGCUCAUGCCCUCAUUUUUAGGUUUGCCUCUUGCAGGAGUAAUCUUCCAAGUUAGAAGCCAAUGAUCACAAAGGAUGGCCCAUUAGAGCUCAACAAUGCAAACAUAGGAGAAACUAAUUUUGUUACACUAAAAUAAAUAAGACAAUGUGCGAAAAAGAUUGGAAAUGGAAGAUAAUGUUUGAUAAGCGGUUAUUUGUGUAUGAGUGAAUUUGAUUGAAAUUGCUUUAAGACAUAUGUACACCAACCCUGGCAAAGAUAUUUAGAAAUUCUCUACGACAUCUAUUUCACAUUCUUCCAUGCACAUGUACAAGUUUCUUAUGGGAAAUAACCAGAAUCCUAAACUCUUCAGCAAAAUUUGAAAAAUAGUUAGCGGACUUAAGCACAAGGAGAGGAUUUUCCAUGAAUGAAUACUCGUGCUAUGGUCAAAAGGAAAGGAUUUUCCAUGAAUGGCUAUAGUUGCAUUCUCUGUAACCAAGCCACCGAGGUGACGACACACCAUUUUCUAUGGGAUUGUGAUUUUGCUUAGGAAUAUAGGAACUCAUUAUUGGACUGGACAGCUGAUGGACAACCUUCGUUUUUUUAAGUUGUUUGGAUUGCUUAUCACAUGCAUGUGUCACGUGGUGACAACCUUCGGUUGUUGUUCACUUGCAAAUUUGGAUGUGUGCUGGACGUGCUUGUUCACGGAUGCAAUCAUGCAUUUCUAGAUUUUCGGUGUGCAAAACGUUUAUAACCAAGGCCAACCGUACACCUUCAAAAACUAAUCGAUGGAGCAUUUCAUUGAGGUCAACAACAUCUAGAUGCUUCCCGCAAAACAAAACAAAAAGCAUCUAUCCUAAAAAAAUAAUCUAGAUGCAUCUGCAACGCCGGUCUGAAACAUAAUGAAAACAUAGCAGGCACAAAUCACAAUCGUUCCUACGCGUUCUUGGAAAAAUCGUCGGUGCGUAUAUGCCAAUUGUGUCACUGCUGCCAGCAGUGCCUUCCUGUUAGCAUCAGGCGUGUGCGUGUUUAGUCCACAGCACGGUAAAAAAACCAGUAUGUUACGAGAGCAAGAGUUCAUUAGUAGGAAUCUCAGAAAUAAAAUACUGCUUAGCUGGCUAAUUAAACUAUCCGAAGCAGUGACUAAGAUCUUUACAACAGGCCAACGAGCCAACCAACCUAGUAACCAAGAAAGAAGAAACAGCUAAAAAAAACAGGAUAUAGAACUGCAGUUGUUGAAAUUGUAUUAAUUUGGCGGAGCACUGCAAUCAACUCAACGAUACAAAUGUGUGACGAUAUCACCUCGGCCACUUGGUUAAGUUAUAGUAUUUGAUUUUAAUACAAUCAAGAUUGGCUUGACAGAAGGAUUCUUUGUUUUCAUAAACUAGAGCCUUCUGCAGUGUUAGCAUAGUACCAAACCAGGAACAUGUCAUCUCUUCCUCGUGGCAUCUCAUCCGUAUGGUGUCCCGACCUUUGCACUCAUUUUAUAUACUACUUCGAGUUGGCUAUUUCGUCAGCACCACAGAUUUGCAAAUGAUCCGAAUCAGAGACGAAUGCCCGAAGCUUCCUGGGCUGACCACACACUGAAACGGGUGUAUUUUAACGAACACAUCCUAUUUUGAAGAUCUAGAUCGGCAUGCUGCCUCGUCCCUGUCAUUGCAUCCUCAAACCCGCAAGGGGGCGGUGGAUGUGGGUCGAGGCCACUCGCCCACUCCGUGUCUCUGGAAGAAACAAUAUAAGAUUGUCAAGCAAUAUUUGUUGGUUUUACUAGCUGUAUAUACGAUCUUGGGGCAAUUGUCAUACGUGUUAGAGCAAAUAUCAUAAAACCUUGACUUUCUUUUUGUGAUAAUCAUAAACCACAAAUACUAGAGUUUUAUAAAAAAAAAUCAAUCUUUGUCUCAUAGAGCUCAAACUUACACAUUAGGAUGUUUGAGUUUUUAACAUUGUUUCUGCUUCAGACCCACAAGUCAGCCGCCACGUGGAAAAUGGUAACUUCACCCAGUUUAUUUUUUGCGGACUGCCUUGAGCUCAUCACACCUAAAAUGUUUUCUUGAAUCCAUAGAAUAAUUCUACAAAAAUUGCACAAAAAGACUAAAAUUUUGUCCAAAUUUUACUGCAAAUUCAAAAUACCCUGAAAAUUCUGGAAAAAAAAAUCCUAACAACCUUGGAUUGAGCAUUCUGGAAAAUUUUCAAGUCAUGUAGCUCAACAAAUCGAGAGAAAUUUUAGUUUUUCUUUUUGAACUAUAGUUUUGGCUAAAUUUUGACCUAAAACUAAAAUUGUGGAUGAAAAUUUGAAAAAUUCUAAAAAGAUCGACAACAUUGGACCGAGCAUUCAAAUUUCCAACUCAUUCGGCUUACCAAACUAACAUAAACUUCCUAGAUACAAUUUUCGCUCAUAAUUGGCCCAAAAUUCAAAGUAGCAAUAAUUUUUUUCUGGCACGGGUCCGGUCGUGUUCAAUGUGGUCCGCCCGAGGCGAGAUCAAUCUUUUUCCGUGUGGCGGACCAACUAGUGGGUCUUUAGUGUUAGAAAUAGUGUCAAACAUCCUAAUCUAAAAAGAUUUUAAUUUUUUGAAAUAACUUUCCUAAAAUUUCUGUUUUAUGAUAAUUUUGUAAAAGUUAUUUAUUUUAAACGGGGGUAAAAGAUUUACCCCACCCAUUAAUUCAGAAGGAGAAUAUAGGCGUUAGACUGCUAGGGACCCAAUUUUUCGUGCCCGUAACCUUAGCCAUAAUAGUUGUGGUGUCAUGAUAUUUGUUCGACAUGUUAAAUACAUUCAUCAUAACAAAUAUUACUUUUAACUAAGUUGAUAAAUAUUCCAAAGGACAAGAAAAAUUGGGAUUGGCUAGAUGCCAGGUGAUUGAAAAUCCAAUUUGUGAUAGUCGAUUCGCUGUGAGCCGUCGGAUACAAGAUGGAUGACCAAAUCAGAUUCUUCAACCACCAAAAUGGUUCAUUGUUCAUCUUCUUCAAUCUUGAACCGCCGAUCUACCCACUGGCCUAACCGUGCUGUUGGCGCCCCUAGCCAUCCCUCUAACCCCGACCAUGAACCAU